rnacentral:lncRNA from 1 species
CCUGUACCAAAGGGUAGGUUAGGACCAAAGAUAUAUUGGAAAGGCAGGUCGAAAAGCACUAGUUCCGGCCGAACCCUACUAGUAAAGGGCAAAGGAUUGGUGCCCUGCAGAAGCUGAAAGAGAGCUCGUAUAAGGUUUGGAAUGACUAGUUCCCAUGUAAAGUUUCCACCGUAGCUGAUCAAGAUCGAGUAGCAGCAAUCGCUAAUGAAAUUGCAUCAUCGCAUGAUUCAAUGAUAGCGAGAGAAAUAGGCCAGGGAAAGCAGACUCAUUCGUGGUCUAACUGGCUUUAGGCCAUUAUCGACUUGAUCAAUCAUUAGCAAGUCAGGGUUAUACCAUUUAGUCUCAUCCAAAUCCACUAAAACUUCUUAUUUUAGAACAAGUAGAUAGGCUCCAUUACGUUAUUUUAGAAAUUGGAUAUUGGUUUAGUAAGUAGUGGACUUAGACUAGGAUAUUGGAUAGAAGUAGAGUAGUGACGAGACCCGCAUGCUCUUUUGAUGCGUUCCUCUCCUCUUCACGACAGAUGGGAUUCCCUAUACCAAGCUAUCCUCUAGGAGGUCAAUAGGAGCCGAGCCGGGAGUUCUAGUGAAAAAGCCAGUAGUUUAUGAGUGGAAUCAAAUUACUAUAAGUCCUGUUCGAGUGAAGUUCUAGUCUUCAUCCCGAGUUUCAUCAGUUAUCAUAGUUGCUCGUCUUAUUCUGCCCUUAACCCUUUCUACUUUACCGACGCAGUUGCUAAUUCUGUCUGACAUUCUUUAUACGAUUUAACUCGAACAGAAACUUGAUUAGCUGAGGAAGGAAUUGAUUCUUCGCUGAACCUUAAUCCGAUGAAACAAGAACCGGAACUGUCCGAGCUACUGACUUGCGUAUGCGAGGUGGAUUCUUGGAUUUCGCCGUGGCUUCUUCUGCAACUGAUCUUUGAACAGCGGCUUCGGGUAACUCCACUUAGCGCAGAUCCAUCCUAUGAUUAAGAUUACAACACUUCUCCAGCACACCCACCACUUUGAUCUUAUUUGCCUGUAGCGAGUAUAGGGGUUUUAGACUCUUAUUACUCUUAUAAUUACCGAGUUCUAUACUUGACUCCCUUAGCUUCUUCUUAUACUGUUCCGUGACUUGAUACUGCAGCAGACCCAGCUUUAGCCUCAGAUCCAGCAACGAAUGUAAGGCUCUUCAAAAGGGUUCAAGUUGGUGUUGCGGUAAAAGGAAUCAUAAGUAUUUUACAAAAAACAGAGAAUAGCUAACAGGUGUUGACGACAGAAUGCUUCGGUGGCUUUAGCUAAUACAACGAAAGCAAGUAGGGAUUACGACAGCAAGUGCACCUCAGAGGGAGCAGAAUCCGCUUCAGAGUGCGUCGGGGAUGAUAGGCUUAUCGUGGAUUAUAGAGUAUGCGAGUGCCCGUGGUAUUAUAUAGUGCUUAAUCUUACGGGAUAAAGAGGCAAGGCCCAGAGUGACUACUCGGCAAAGAGACUAUCGAAUCAAAUAGGGAAAUCCGCUAUCGUGUCUUCUUUAUCUCGUAUAAAAACAACACAGGACUUUAGGUUUUGGUUGGGAUGGGAAAAAGCAGCGAAAGAGAAGCAAGGGUAUACUAGCUCCCGAAGCUUACUAUAUUCCCAAUCGAGCGCGAGAGGUGAAGGAGCCGUUACGUUAGAUGAGGUCUCCCACUCUCACAACGCGGGAGAAGGCCAAGCUACUUGACUAUAGUGUCAGAUAGUUCUUUUUUCUUUCAUAGAGUCCUCUAGGAAUGAGUGAAACUGCUACAGCUUGCCCGAGCCGAGUCCGUGCUCUUUCAGUAGUCUUGUUCCAUAUCACCUUUCUGCCUUCCUUCCCUUCGAUCGAUCUUAUGUGAUGUUAGUUCACAACGCGGGAGGGAGUAACGGGGUCCUCCUUAUAAGGCGGAUCUCAUUGGCUUAAUUGUAGCAUUGCGUGGGGGCUGGCAAUCUCUUAUUCUUCUAGUUGGCAGUUUACAGACCAAUCUAAGGAUCCUAUAAUAGGCGAAGCAAACCCUCCUUUAUUAUUCUAUCUCGUGCUCUCUAUCCAUUGGGUCUUUUCAUCAUAGCUAUAGAGGGAAGGCGAAGGCAGGCAUCAUCAUAGAUCGGAGAAAGUGGAUCCAGUGCUACCUUUAUGCCCUUUAUUAACAAAUAGUCUCUCCCUUUACGGAAUCCCCAGUGCUUUGUUUGUCAAUCCCUUUCUUGCCCCAACACAGGGUAGAGAUAAGCCAAUUAGCCCUUCUUUUCUUUCCGCGGGGUGCAUUCCCUUAUGGACGAAAGAUUGGAUUCUCUUAGCGCGCUGUACAUUAUGUCUAUAAUAUUAGGGAAUUAUGGUUUCUUUCCAUCUAUAGAGCUUACUCUCCUCCUUUCUGUCUUUCCAUCUAUAGAGCUUACUCUCCUCCUUUCUGUCUUUCAUCCAACUAUCUAAACCUGGAAGCGGUUAGUAAUAAUGCGCGUAUCCUUUGAGAGAAGCGACUCCUGCAUGGCUAGCUUGCCCGAUGGAUAACUCAGAAGCACGAAGGGUAUGCUUAUGUAGUUAGCUAUUACCCCUAAUCCCUUACCAACCCAAGGCAAUCAGGCUUACUUAAUAGCAUAGAGGAACAGAGGACAAAGCCAAUUCGAGGACCCCUCCUCUCCUUACAAUCCAACUUGAUAGAAAGGGUUUAGGUUAAUGAUAUCCUGGGAAGGCAGAUUCGAUCAAGGGAGAAAGCGGUGACAGGGCCUUGUGUAAUGGCAAAGGGAUGACAGUCGUAGGGAUAAGAUGCCUCGUUUGCCGUUCUAUGCGCUAAUGAAAGGGUCAAGUCCAUUCCAUUCCCUUUAUUCAAAAGGAUAGAAGCAUUCCCUUUAUUCAAAAGGAUAGAAGGAUAGAAGGAUAGGUUGAACUCGUCGAGGUAGAAGCCGUGUAGACCUUAGCGCAUUUGCUCAAGAUCUUAUUGCGGAAUUGCAGCCCCCACCACAUAAAAGAAAGUCAAAGAUCCAAUCGCCGCUCCUUUAUUGCUUAGUUCGCCGGUCACAUCUCUUAGUGGUACUGCUCUAGCUUGGAGUUUUACCAAGAGGCGUUACCUACAGGGCAAUGGGGUCUGGUCUAUCUAGUGAUUCGUGAGCCCUUGGGCAUUCCCCCGACCAAUACUCUAUUAUUCUAUUAUCCAAUACUAUACCGACCAAUGCUCUAUUUUUCUAUUAUCCAAUACUCUAUUAUUCGAUUAUAUAGAAUCACACUCUUCUCUUUCUUAGAUCCCUUCGUCUCAAUUCGAUAACGAAGUAAGCUCCUAUGAAGCAAGAAGCCAAGCCGGAAUAAGCCCUGGAUUUUGGACACCUCUCCCUUUCUUUAGUUGAGCCCUAUGGUUGAAUGAGGGGAACAUCAAUGCGAGCAUGUUGUCGCACCCCCUAAACUAUUAAGACAGGGCCUUGACAUCAUCUGAGCUCGGGUUUUCCUUGUUCUAACAAAAUGGGUAAGCUUUGUCCCUAGUGAAAUCCUAUUGUUGAGCGCUAUAGCCUUAAACCUCGUGCUCUAAGGAUCUUUAUAGAUAGCUCUAUAAGGGAUGUCAAGACAGCGAAAGAAGCGGCGCUAUUACAAUUAUAGGGACGUGGAAGAUCAAUCCUAGAAUUAGAUGAAAGAAAGCUUACCUAUGAGAAUGAGUAUUUUGAUUACCUUACUUGGCUUAUAUAGAACAAAAGAGUUGGAUCCAUUGAUAACCGUAGGGGGAGAGAGAAAGUGUAAGUUAACCUUCUUCCAUCAAAAAACAAACCCGAUGUAUUGAGCCUGAUCAACGACGGAGUGAGAUAGGCUUGGUAAAUAAUAGGAGAGAAAAUCCAUUGAUCAGCACGAGACUAAGUAUGAAGAGAAAGGGAAGAAGAUCUAUAAAGGGGAUAAUCCAUUCAGCACGGGGCUGGAUCUAACUAUCUUUACUUAUAGAACAUCAGAGAGGGCGGGCGUUCUCGUCAAUUCUAGCUACUAUGGCACCCGCAUGAUCAAAGCGCAUUACAUUAGGCGCUAUACUCACCUCAAACCGAUCAAGAUGCCCUGAAUCGAAGGAGGAAGGCCAACACAAAGGCAGUAUGAUCCUAUUCCACCCUUCGUUGAUCGCUUCUAUGGGGCUGAUUCGUCAAGCUGGGCCCUCCGGAAUCCUUCUUUCCUUAUAAAGCAAAGGGAGCAAAAGGCAGAAAGCAAAGACUCACUUGACUAUUAUAUUAGGAUUAGGACGAGAUGCUAUUAAGCUUGUUCGAAAAGGGUGUUUACUCGUCUUCAAUCAGUGCCAUUGAAAGAUAGGGCUCGUGUGUGAUCCAAGAAUCAAGCCUAAAGAAGACAACAAGGGCUCUUGCGAUAAGGGGGACUCAGGAGUUUCAGGCUUGGUAUACUAUAUUCCAGUUUCUUAUGAUAGUUGUCUUUGCAUUGCUUGGCUCGCUUAGCAGCACGACGCUUGUUUUGCUCUCCCACCUUAUCUUAUGUCGCAGCAACCAGCUACCUCUUGCAACCUUCCACCAUCUGUUGAUUCAUUCCUCCUAAGAACCAAAUGUCCCUUUACUAGUGUGGCUAAGCCAAGCUCACUAGGCGGAUCGUACGCCCUGGUGUAUAUCCCGGAGUACUCCUAUAGCCGAUCUGUCACCGGAGGGUUAGUAAUUAAUCAAUCAAUAGGGAGGGGUUGCAAAGGCAAAGGAGGAAAGAAGCCAGCUCGAGCCUUUCACGUUCACUGUCAAAGGAAGGGGCAAAAGACAGAAAUCAAGACUCAUACUUCAUUUCAAAGACUAUGACUUCAUUUCAUCUAUGAUAUUAGUAUUGCUACUCCGUGCUAAGGUAUAUGGUAAGGAAAGCAUAUAAUUCGCAAGACAACAUACUUCUCCUACACACUGGCAGUCCACAGCUAAGCACUAGGUGCCGUGCCCAUAUGCUAGUUUCAACCAAUCUUCUCGUUGAUGGGCAUUCUCCAGUAUAUGAUCCUAUAGCGUAGAUGACACUGAUUCACUUAUUCAGAAAGAAGGCCGAGAAGUCAAGCCAAUCUUGCAAUAAGAGUCGUUUCACGUGGGUUAUACUCUGCUAAUGACUAAUCGACCCCGACAAUAAAUAGCUCCGUGACUUUCCGGCUCACUAACCACUAACGCUUACUUUACUAGGUGCGCCUCAAUCAAUUCUUAGUUCGGUUUCCCACUUGCAGCUGCACUUAUCAGAAAUACUUCCUUCUUUUCAUCAACAUUCCAUUCUUCAGGUUCACAGUAUGGUUCUCAUUUUCUAUACUAACCCAAUGAAAGAAACAAUACUUUCUUCUGAGUUUUGGGGUAAACAAUACUUUCUUCUGAGUUUUGUUGGGUAUUUACAAGUUUGUAUGCCAGGCACAAAGACUCCUAAAUCCAUCCCGAGCUUUUUAUUCAACCUAGCCUCUCCACAACAAGAUGGACUUCACCUAGGAUGAGAAUGGCCUUAUUGACUUGACUUGCCCUGUCUUCGUUCCAGUGGAGUAGCGGAAAGAGAGAUCGAUAUGUGAGGGACCCAACCCCUACGAUUCGAGACGGAAUUGCCUUCUAAAGGGCGGAGGUUUGCUUGAAUUCCCUUUGUCCCUUAACAGCUGACGGGAAAGAUUGGAGUUUCGUUUAGUAUGAGCCAAUGGGAGUUUCCUUCCAGCGAGUGCAGUGGUAAAAGCUGGUCCAAUGAGCUAGUUCUUUCGAAAGGGCAUUAGCACUCUCAAAGAAUAACCUAUCUACAUCUUUUCCUCAUAAGAGCUAUAUUCGCAUUCGCGCCUCACUCAUCGAAGGCUUUCGGGAUCAAUAUUCUAUAUAUUAGUGGUUUUGAAUAGCCCUCUUCCCAGUUGGUACCAAUUAGCGUGAUGGGCCCUACUUACUCUUUCUCUUCUAUAUUUUCUGAAUCCUGAUUUUCCUGAGCUCUUUGAAUGGCAGAUGCGCAGUGGGGGCAGCUAAUCUCGUAGAGACAGGAGAUAUUUAAGGAGGCUUCCCCGCCCUAACAUGAGAAGUUCACCUCACAAGAACCGACCUAAUACUCAACACUUGCUUUCCGCCGUGAUUGGACUAGGCUUCAAUUAUUCCCUUUCCUUGGACAAAGAACUAGAUGGUAAAUAAGGUGCUGACAAAGAACUAGAUGGUAAAUAAGGUGCUAGAACUAGACGGUCAAGAAGGAUUCCCACUCAAUCAAAUAUCCAUCAGCAUUUUACCUUUCUCAAUGGCUUUUCUUUCUCAUAAGGCUUGAGACUGCUUUUCUUUCUAAUAAGGCUUUCUGCAUGAAUGGAAUCUGAAAGGAAUGGUUACGUAGGCUUUACUGUAGAAAGGAAUGUUACGUAGGCUUCCAAGGCUCUAUUCAUAGAAUCUUGCUUGCUCUUGAAUGUUACGUAGGCUUCCAAGGCUCUAUUCAUAGAAUCUUGCUUUGGAGAUCUUUAUUCCAGUGUAGGUCUUCAAAUCAUACUUUUCUUAUUCUAUUUUGAGGAUGGACAAAACAAGGUAAGAAUGAAAAAAGCUAUUGACUAAGGAGAAUAGGUGUUAUAGUAAUUAGAAAAAGCUAUUGACUAAGGAGAAUAGGUAAUGUCAUAGUAAUUCAUUCAAAAAACAGUCUUUCUGGAUUGAUUUAGUCCUUGACUCGCUUUCUCGGCUGGCUUGACGAGUUACUAUCUUUACCUGGCUAGCUAAUCUCAAUAAGUAUGACAUAUCCCUUAUUUACCUGGCAGGCUAGGCUCUCUUACUCUUCCACUGUUACAUGAGUCCUGGCAGGCUCUCUUCUUCUUCCACUGCUACAUGAGUUCAUACCUUCCUUUUCUGAUUCUGCAUAUAUAUAAUGGAAUCCAUAUAAUGGAGUAGAUCCUAAUGAUUCACAAGCCAUUCCAUUCUAGUUUGAACCCUCGAGUCAGUAGAUAGCUUGAUAAGAGUGAAAGCAUCAUCUUAGAAAGUCAGAAUCCGGCUUGAUCUCGUCCCUUCAAUGUCCCCUGGUAGGCUAAACCGGAAAGAGAGAGCAGUCGUGUCACCUUAAAGCUCUAAGUAAAAGAAGUAAAGCUGCAACGCGACUCUACUAAUAAGAUAGAAAGAGCUACUAAGAUAGAAAUAAGAUAGAAAGAGCUACCUCCCCCCCCCCUCGGUGAACUUUCCUUUUAAAGAAAUCCAGAAGUGCAUCCAACCCUGUGACAGCAAGUAAUCUUUCCAUGAGAUCCUGGAGCGUGCCGCUGACUUUUAAGGAUUGAACUCGGGCAAGCAACGGCUACUAGCAGAAUCGAACUAGAAACAGGGAAUUCCACUAAGAAGUCUAAGGGCUCUCCCCCGAGCAGAAGAAUGGAACUGGAUAAACUCGAAUAGAACCCCAGCUAACAAGAAGAAAGCACCACUCCGAUGAGUUGAACCCGCUACCCCUUGACUCCUUGAUGUAACUCCGCCUUUACUGGAUCUAAAGCUACCUCGCCUGUAUUGAAAACUGUAUCCAUGCUUUCUAGAGCCCACUACUGACUGGCAUUCCUGGCUAUUGGUCUCUGUAUUACUAUAACCCAGGCCUUAUUGCCUUACUUUCAAACUGACACCACCACCCUUGCUUUUUGCAUUUCACUUUUGAUUCUUGUAAUGCCGAUCUGGAUCCUUAACUGGAAUUGGAUUGAACUAAUUAUCCCCCCCGACUAUUGGAACGAUACCACUUACUUAUUAUACCGAUGCUAGAAACAAGGGUCGAUGUAAUUGAGCUAAUGCUAAUAAGGCUGUAGCUCGGAACCAGGGCUUUCACUACAAACUCAAAGAAUCGAAAUGGGGCUUAUCAGAUGGAACUACUCCGGACAACCCUACUACUAUAGAAUGGAAUUACUAACUAUAAGAUUGAAAACACUAUGAAGAAGAGUUGACUACCCACUCCGAUAGAAUAGACCCUAGGCCGGCAAUACCUUAACUCGAAACCAAGCCUUCUCUUACUUACACUUUCAAAGCUGCUCUUCCUUACCUGAAUUCUGUAAUUCACCUGUUCGUUCUUGCUUCAAUUCUUUACAUCGCGAAAUCGGUACCCUUAUCCCCAGUUCCAAGUUCGAUUUGGAGCCUUCCCUUACUAACUAUAAGAUUUCUCUUACUUACUUCUUAUCUUAUUCUUUAACCGGUGCCCUUCAAGACUAAGUUCUUUGACUUCGAUUCUGAAAAUCAUUACUAUAGGUCCGUAGCUACUGAUCUCGACACCCUAUAUGUUGAUGCCACCAAGUCCUAAAAAAACACAGGGAAUCGAGCGACUAUGGACAGGGCUUACUUUCCUUUCUAUAACUACUGAAUUCAAUACAGAAUCUUCUAAAUAAAUAAACUAGUGCUUUUGCUUCUUUAGCAGCUGAGCCGUAUAUUUUCAUCAAUGCCAACAGGAUUCCUAUCGACCUACUGACAACAAGAGUAGAACCCGAGCUACCAAUACCUAUGCUCUAAACUACUCACUCUUCCCCUACUGGCUAACAGCCUUACUAUCAUUACCUUUAUUCUUUCACCCAUCGGCUGCUGACGCUGCCCUUGCAUUACUACCUACGAGCCCAGCCUUAACUAUAAGUCUACAGCUAACGGGCUUAAAGUCUAUUUCUCCUAGCAGUUCGAUCCUUGUUAGUAACAGUUCCAUUCCUUAGUGUGUGUAAGGCAUUUCAUUCUUAGUGUCUACCCCGAUAUACCUUACGCCCUUCUUUGAUCCUAGUACCAUCGACUCGGAUCCUCAAACUUAUAGCUCUAAGCCACCAAGGAACCACUACUGAUGAGAAUUCCGCUAGUGUCUCCAAGGCUGCCGCUACCUUUUCGAAUUCUUCCAAUCAAUACCUUUUUUCUUCAACUGAUUACUUAGAAGCUUACAUCCAUCCUAGAAUGAGCAAUGAGCAAGCAAUACGGGUCUCAAGAACAAAAUACAGGUAUGCUAGGAAGGAGUAGAGAAUGAAUAUAAGUCAACGGAAUACCGAAUCGAAGAGUCAAACAAGUAAUUAUAAGACUCAUCUGUGGGGGCAUAGGCUUCUACCAAUCCGUGAUACCCACCAAGAGCAACUACUCUUGGGUACCCGGGGGCAAGAAAGAAAUCCUCUGCUUCAGCUUAUGCGCCAAGAUCCUAUGUUUCUGCGCUUACGGGCAGUUCAAUUUAUAGAGAAAUUAGGAAUGACUAUCCCUAUCUUAUUAUAUGACAUGCGCCCGAAAGCUGAAAGAAAGAAGUCUUUGACUGAAGACUCAAAUGCCACUGUCUUGAUAGCGCGGGUAAUGUUGACUGACAAAUCCAAGAGUGAAAUCUCUAUAGAACGAAAGGGGGUAAGUAUAGAAUUUAGUUAGAGGAGAGCACACUCCAAAGCUUUCAAAGGAAUCAUAGCGCAAGCAAGUCAGCUGCAGAAAGGACGGUUUGAGUUUCAUCGACGAGAAGGCUGGAUCAGAGCUUUCUCUUUGCUUUAACCAAGUAAUAGAGUUUGGGUGCUCAGUAAACAUCAUUCGUAGAUGUAUUGGUGCUAACCUACCUACUCUAUUGGAAUACAACCACCGCGAACUCUAAAUUUCACCACUCUACCUGGAAAGGGUGAAUCCUUAGCUCGAGUACUUGCCUACUUGUCCGUUCUUCUACUAUUGAGCCUCUACUAUGGAGUUUUCUUCUUGACUCUUAUUGUUAGUAUGGGUAUGCUUACCGGGGGCGCUCCCCUCGUCUUCUAUCUAAUCAUCUAAUACUGUCUAAGUCAGUAGUUGUCGCUUUAAAGCAAGGGGCGUAAGAGGGCAAGUUCGAUUUCAUAACAGUAAGGGCAGGCCGAGGGCUUGGGGGAAGCCAUUAGAUUUAGAUUAAGGUGCUGAAAGCCUAAAGCAAGGGAGUGAGCUUCUCUAUCUCGAGUUCGAGUCUUGCUGGGCGGGUGACGAAUCUUUAUUUCGAGGUUGGUUCCCAGUGGGUCCACACAAAGAUAGUCGUUAUGGGCACUGUGUCGAGGGCAUAGUCUGUUAGGUCGCUGCUCGAUUCCUGUUCUCGGUGUACGAACUCAAUUCUAACUGUUGAGUUGGAUUCCCAUAUAUCGACUAGGGAUGCGCUACACCUUACUCCGAACACACUGCCGCUCCACUCUUUUCCUUACUCAUUUGUUUUUUAGUCAAUGCUUGACCCUUGUCUUCUGAACUCAAUGCUUUACUGAGUACUAUUAAGUAUGAAAAGAAACUCCACCCACGACUUUUCAACUUAUACACAAGCACAGGCAAUAACCUAUCUCACAGACUAUGCUCGAACAGAACGGAACCCUACUUUACUUACCGUCCCGCCUCGUCGCUUACUUUAGCUUCUUCUCUAGCUUAUGAUCUCGUUGACAGAACUCCACUUUCAUCUCCGAAACUAUCUUCCCGUGUAAGUGUAAGUAAUAAAGAAGAAGAUUUCACUGAUUGAACUGAAAUUCUAUACAAUGAAAUAAUGAAAGGGAUAUACCCACACACCCUCUGUUCUUGUGCAGAGUAUACCAGUAACUCCUCUGCACCUAGGAAAACAUCAAUGGAACAAUUUCACUUUCACAACUGUUCUAUAUAUGAGUUAGAAUUGAGCAGCUCAUCUCACAAACAGGGCCAAGCAAGCCAGCCCAGUUGUGGUUUCAUUCUUUGACUCGGGUAGGCAGGUUGACUUACUUGUUUUCUUCCAAUACGAGGGCAGGGGGAAUCUCACUUGUUUAUAGAAGUCUGACAUGCCCUUAUUGAUCUAACUAAAGUAGUCUUCUAAUAAGGAAUGCCAGGCCCAGAGCUCUUAGUUGAGGAGUUAGAGUCGGGAAUGGUCUUGUUUACAUUGAUUGAAGUCCUAGAAGCAUUAUAAGCUAUUGGUUCAAUAAAGUAGUAGAGACAUCCGUUCUAUUCUAAUGGUUACUUAACGCAUCUCUGCACGGUAGGUAUAUUCUGUAUUCUUUGGAUUCUUGCUAUUACUAGUUCAAAGCUAGCUGAUCUGAGACUAACUACUCUGCUCCUGUAUUCCAGAUCGAAGUAUUACACUGAGCCCGCAUAACCCAUAUUCUUAUUUACCAUUUCUUUUGUGCCCCAAUACAUAGUAGCUGAUUUCUCUUCUUUGUAUCGGCGAUUCCAUUCUUGUAUUCCUCGUUUCGAUUCUUGUUAGUAAUGGUCACAGCCCCUAUGCCUAGCUGUUUCAUUACGAGAAGCCCUAAGUGAAAGCAUGAAAGCAGGAAUUGGAAGAAUUAGAUAAAGUCAGGACAGGCUGUUAUCAAGGGGGUUGUAGUUAUCAAUACAAUAACAGAGCAGAAGAGAGUUUCCUAAGUGCCAAUGAGAUUCUAUUCUCUUAUAAUGCAAAAUGAGAAAAGAAAGAUCAUGAUAUAUAUCAAUACAUAUCAAUACAAGUAGAAUAAGAAAAUAGUAGUGAAAAGAAUACCGGAAGUCGGGCUCAAAAGCAACGAGUCUUUCGUCUAAAGGUUGGAGCAAAACACUUGUGGCCCCACCGUUUAAGCUCUGGGUCGAUCAUUUUAUAGACUUGAAAAAAACACCCUCCGCUCUUUUAUUCUCUUUUCCCAUUGUGCUCAGCCUCCUGCGCCCGGUGCUUCGGUUCUUGUAAAAUAUCUCGGGUCGGGAGCAUCAGUAAAUUGCUUUUUCUUUUCUUGUAGGUCCGGCCCAAUUCAAAUAACACCUAAGGAUCCGACCGGCUUCAGGAAGAGGCACCCCACACCCCUAAAUAAAGGCUUCUAUGCUUUACGUCAUUAAUAAGAUCCAUUCUUGGCCAUAGAUAUGCGCUUUUACAUAUCGUUAUUGAAAGAGUGGGUCUCAAUUCAGAAAUUCGUGCUCCACUAAUAGAAGCGAAAUGAAACCCCACACACAAACAUUUGGAUUUGGAUCCUAAAGCGGAAAGGAAAGGGGCGAUUCAUGGAGAAAGCCUUAUGUCCGCGCUAUUGCCCUGCUUGUUCGCCUAUACUUCACUCUGGAAUCUAUCUCAGAAAGCCUUAUGCCCGCACUAUUGCCCUGCUUGUCUAUACUCUGGAAUCUAGCCUUAUGUCCGCACUAUUGCCCUGCUUGUCUAUACUCUGGAAUCUAUCUCGUGGUUUUCUUUUGCUUUUCCAAUCCUAUCAGGCUUGUGUUACGAUCUAUAUCACUAGAUGGGACUUCCUUUCUCAAGUGCUUCUCCCCUUUUCUGCCUUUCUUUCUCAUAAGAUAUAACAUUCUUGCUCCUAAGGGGUCUUAUUACAUUCUUUCUCAUAAGGUCUGAAUGACUAGUUUAUACGAUACAAAUCAAAUUGGAGUUUGGGCCGUGCCCGGGCAGAUUCCUCCUUUUCUUUUGGUGCUCUCUAGUUUAUGGAGAUUCCUCCUUUUCUUUUGGUGCUCUCUAGUUUAUGGAAAAGUCAAACUCAACUGGAAAGAGGCAAGCGCAAACCUGUUGUGAAAAUAUGAGAAUAAGAAGUUAUACCCUAAUCCUUAGGGAGGAAGCGUGUGUGGGCAUCAUACCAGACCAAAACCCAAUGGAAUGCUCGGCUAUCUUAUUGAUUCUGACUAUUUGGGGAAUGAUUCCAAAAAGAAGGAAGAGGAACCCUAUCUUUACCUUUUCGAGGCGGGCAAAGGAAAGCAGAAGCGGAUGCAGAUCCGUGUGAUGAAAUCCAGAAACUAGUUAUCCAAUCAUCAAUCAAAUGAUAUCAUCUUUUAUCUGUGGAAUGGAAUUCAUCCUUUGUUAGUACCCGCCCGCCCUCCGAAGUGCAUUUCCUGUGUAAGGUAAGAUCCAGCUUGCCAAACUAUAGAGAAGCACCAUUAGAUAAGUUGAUACUUCGUCCUUUUUUGUUCAGGCUAUUCUCAUAGAACUGUGAUACAUUGAAUAUUAGUUAAUAACAACACUGACCCGAACUCUAUAAAUACUAUUUGGUGACGAAAGAGAAUCCAGUCAAAUAGAGAGUAUAUAAGUCAGUCCAGUCCAGGUCCAGUCCAGAAGAAACUCAAGUCUAAGAAAACGGGGAUUAUUGGUACAGAACAUAGUCAAUCGUAGUUACAGCACUUGAUAGCAGAUACUUUACUUACAGCUUUAGCAUUUGAGUAGUAUGGGCCAGUGUGCAGCUUAUGGGACAUAUUCAGUAAUAGGGUAUGCAGUAAUAGGGUAAUAAACCUGUUUCAAGCCUUUAUUUCACCCGAAGACCCAAUAUCAUAUUUGUAAAGGUACUGAACUGAGAAUGAUAGACCUAUGAUAUGAGGAGAAUGAGAGACAUAUGAUAUGAGUUAAUAACAGAACCAGACUCCUGACUGCUGACUCUAUCCUGUCAUAUGAGAUUGAUAUGCCUGUCAUAUGAGAUUGAUAUGCGGACCGGACCUCUCUAUUACUAUUAUAUUCCUUGCUUGAGUGAUGGUAGUCAGAGACUCGCUAGUAAUACCUUUCAUCUUUAUAGAUUGAUAGCAUUCUAUCUAUAGACAUAUAAGAUUCUUCGAAGCAUGAACUAUCAGCAAGAGAGGCUAGCGAAUAAGUAAGUAGGAAAAGAUCUUCUUAGCGCUAAGAUCUGUUGUUCCUGGUAGACUCUGCGCAAGUGAAAUAACGAGUUUGACAAGGCGCCAACACAACAAGACUAAAUGGCGUUAGGAAGGGGCUCCUCAAUUCGAACAUUAUAUACAAAAGAUAGGGCCGCUAGUGUUCGCUGAAUGAAACGCCUUACCUUAACCUUAAUGCUUGGACCACUACAUUAAGGGGCAAUAACUAUACUUUAUGAACAGACCUCGAACAGGAAAGCAACUAAGACUAUGUAUUCAAUUCCAGUCUGGUCUGCUUGGCGGGAUGAAACUAUCACUUUUUGAGUAGUAACUUGGCCGUCUUACUUAGUAGCUUGGCCUGGUGUUGUCGUCUUGUCUACUUUCCAGCUUGUCUCUUCAAGAUGUGAGUAAGCAGUUCGCCCAGUUCCACUUGGUGGGAUCCUAUUAAGAAUAAGAGAUAUCUUUAAGCCGAAGAAGCCAUAAAGAAGGGAGUUUAGUAAAGAAAUGAUAGGUAAUCAGAAUAACUUAGAUGCAAUGUGCACUAGAUGCAGAAUCUUAAGGAAUUGUGGGGUUACUUUUUGACUUGAAAUAGAAAGAUACAGAUAGAGCAGCAGGAUUAGGUGAGGAAUCAGGAGCAAGAUCUGGCUGGAUAAAAAUACUUAUAUGAAGCAACUGUUCUUGUUUCAUCCACAAACUAGCAACUACGAUAGGCCAAAAGGAAUGUUUUGAACUAGUAUAUGUUUCAUUAUUGACUAUCCAAGAAAGGUUCUCUAUCUCCCGAAACAGGACAAGUAGCGGCAUACGACCAAGCUGCUUGUAUAUAAGGGAAAGUCACUACGGCAGCAAGGCAAGCUUAGGGAUGAGCCCGGGCGGAAACUAGUGCUUCUAAUACGAUAACUAGGGACUUGGGAGCCAACUACUACUUAUAAAUAUUCAUAUGAUAACUCCGCUAUACCCUUCUUUAAUACUAUUGAUCCUAGCACUGGCUUUCACACUUUUGGUAUCAUUUCCUUCCUUCCUAUUCUGUCUUAAGUAUAUAGUAACAGUCUACAGCAAGUCAAGUUUUCGGGACAAUGAGUUUUCAUCCUAUUUCUCAACUGCUGAGGUGAAGUAUAAAGUCACAGGGGUGUGGUAGGGCAUACGCAGAGGAGAGAAACUAGUAUACGCUUGGCCCGGGAUUCCAAAAGAAAGAGAGGGCACAAUCCGAGCAUGCAACAUAAGAUAGGUAGGCCCCCAUUCAUAUUAUUUAGGAAAAAGUGUUUCCGGUGGUACCACGUAUUUGACUUUAUGGGAAGGCUUAAUGGCUUGCUGAAAUGAAGCAAUUACACUGUAGCUGCCAAAGGAGACAGCAGCCCGUGCCGGAAGUUCCCUCGUGAGGAAAAGGAGGAGCGUGGGGAUUCUAGUUUCCCCUCAUCCCAUGACGAAGUGCGGAGAUCUUUUCUUUGUAAGGAAAGUGUUUUACUUAUACUGGAAGUCAGGACGUUCACUGCGCUUUAUUUAAAGCAGUGUGCUGCCUGUCUACAACAAAACGGUGAUGUUGUAGAUAGUACCCAGAUGUCUCCUUAUGUGUCGCUCACCCGGUCAAGGGCUUCCUCGGAUUAUUCCAUCUUUCCAUAGAAGGUUGAUAAAGGAUGGAGUAAGACCCAGGCCAAGCUACAACUAUAGUUUCUGUAAGCAGUUAACUACUAUAGUUUCAGUAAGCAGUUAUAUUAGCAGCGGAGUUUCAUUCUUACUUUACUACUUGAGAGAAAGAACUGAGUACUAGGCGAAGUGUUACCGAGAAGUUGGGACAGAAAGUCAGAAAUGAGAAGCAAAGCAGUAAGUAAGUAAGGAAAGAGUCAGGAGUGAACAAGCAAUGCUCUGUUUUUAGUAACAAUUAUAUAUGAGGAACCCGCUACGUGCAACUCAAAAGUCACUCCACAGCUCUUACUAUAAUUAGAAUAUGUGUUUGUUUGGCAAUGAGAAUAUGAGUUUGGCCGGGAAAAGCGUAACCUCCGCGUACGAACGGUAGCUAUUUCUAUAAGAACAAAGGGAGUAAGUAAUAGAGUUUGGGAGCUCGCUACUGCGAGUUAUUAGCGCUGUAGUGACUUCUUUGCCUUAUUGCCCGGCGCCAAAGGAUAAGUAAGCUUAGGGCACCUGCUCCAUGCCAGUAACCACACCUUUAAUGGAAUUGAAUGCACCACACAUCACUUAUAGAGGAGAGUCACUUCAUAACUAAACACCGAAACGUUAGCACCCUUUAGGUGAAUUUAUGCAGAACUAUAAAGGGCCCCUCCCCUAUACUAAGCAUUAAAGAACUUAGUUUAAAUGAGAUGAGAGUAAUAAGCAAGUGAGUUUGAAAGGCGAGUUUCUAUUCCGCCGUGGACAUAGUGGAAAAGGACAGUUUGUUUCCGAGGAUAUGAGUGAGUUUUCAAAGACUGUUGGAGAGUUUCAAUGAUAGAUGUUACAUUAGCUAUGUAUAGGUGUUACUUAGAGAACUAUUAAGUGAAAGCCUGAACCGGUACGAGUUGUUGACAGUUCAAUUGAGCUAGCGAAGGACGAAAACUGGAAUAGCUUCAUUAAGACCUCUCUUGCUUCAUUAAGACCUCUGGCUCCGCCAAGCAACUAAAGCCCUUAACCAUUAAUAAGUCUGGGCCAGUAGGAAAGUCCAAAGUCAUAAUGCUCUUGCAACUCUCUACCUAUAUCCUUUACUUGGUUACCAGAAGAAUCCAUCAUACCUAUAGCGGGGAACUUUCAUGAUUCUGUUUCUUCUACAGCUUCUACUACUUCAACAGCCAUAAAUACUCGCCUUAGACACAAGCAAACUUUCACCUUCACCUCUAUUGGAAACAGGAAUAUAUCUUUGCGCCGAAGCAGCAUCGUAUCGGGAGUGGGAUAUCUUCAGUAGGUCAAGAAUUGGGAGUUGGAGCAGUAAGUAGGAAAAAGCGGAAUAAUAGUAUACAAGCGCAAGGCAAGAGAUGAGAUCAAAGAAAAAGAAUACUUUCCAAAGUCUAGUAUAGAUAAGGAAGGGGUUAUCUUAACUGAUUCUAUAACAUGUGCUCAAUAAGAAAUGAAAGUAUAAGUCGAGGUCGGUUCUAGUUUCAUCGUUCGGUUAAGAAAGAAAGGAACCAUUCACUAUAGAACUCAACCAGCACUAACAGGAAUGGGACCAGAGAAUGCAAGAAUAACCCUAGUGCUUAUAAGCCUUCUACUCCACCCAGAUUCCGUCCUUUGUUUGUGUUGUGCGGCAGGAGCCCCUGGUCAUUCAAGUAAUGUCAACAAGUGCUUCUACUAGUUUUGGAACUGGGCAUUGAAGAAAGUCUUCUGAUAAUGUAGCUACUACCGCUAAGGCAGCACCUAGGAACUACGAAACAAGCACCCCUACUAGUUUCAUUGAACCAAUACCUAUGUAACUUGGCGAGCUCUCAACAGUGCAAUAAGAUACUUUAUCUUGAAACAAAGAAUCAGAACCCCGAUAGAGUUGAACUGAACCAUUACUAGCAUCGGCUGCAGCCCUAUCAGUAGUGGACGUCAACACCUGCUCUAUUCUUUAAAGCAGUAGUACUAGCUUUCAAACAAAUAGAGUCAGAAUGCUAGCAGGGCAGGGCAAGCUCAUAAGCCAGAAAGAGUUUAAGGGAUGUUAGUUUUAGAGCAAGGAGACCCGGAUCAUUGUUUUAAAGAAUAGAAGUAGGCCUCCCCCCAAGCCAAGCUAAUGGUGCAACUAACAAGAAAGGAGCUACUGCUAGCAAUACUGAAACUCGGAACCAUGGAUUCAACUAAAUACUAUGAGCCUUACACUACAGCAUUUCCAUUCCAUUCUUUAGCUCAGCUCUAGGCCCUGUACUUACUCGGUUCAGGCUUAUACUUGCGCCUUUCAGCCUGCUACACACCCAACGAAAGAAGGAAAAUACGGCCUCCUUUGCCGGUUUUGAAUUCUUGAACUAAUGAUUUAGAUCUUUACUUCCACAGAUCAGUAUACCGAUCCUUCCUUUCCAACUGAACUGACCUUCUUAUACUUCUGACUUGAGUUCUGAAAUAGCUUAUUCCGUCUUUUGGACAGAGAGCUCUAAGACUAAUAGAUACGGGUAUGGUGCUAACAGUAAUAUCCGUGGAAGGUGCCUACUACUAGUACAGAACCAGAGGAACCGAAACGGAGAAUAACGACUAGAAGACGGAAGUUCGAAAGUCAUAAUAAAAGAAAGGAAUGGAGGAAUGGGUUCUUCAGCAAACAAACCUAGUAGUGGUUCCCCAACUCGAAAGUCAAGAUGUUCUAUAAUAUACUAAUCCGAAUUGAACGACGACUAUACUACAAAAGGAAUCCAACAUCGACAUAACGAAUCGAACUGCAGCUAACGAGAAUGGAAUUAACAGCUGGGCAUUCAACCAUCGCUAACAGGGAAUUGAGCACUGCUAGCAGGAAUCCGACUACUGCUUCUAGGACUCUCGCUCAAAAGAGAUAGUUGCACCCCGGUAAUUAAGCCUACCGAGCUUAAACCCAAGUCUGUCUUUCCUCUCCUUUUGCCGAAAAAUCCAAUAAGUUAGAAUUGACUCACACCUGCAGAGAAAUCAAUCAUAAUAUAAGGUAUUAUCACGCGCAUAAGGUAGUAAUGGUAUACACAGAAUAGAAAGUAAUCAUAGUCUUAAUAGAAUCAUAAGACAUCAUUAGUAUUAAUAGAAUCCUAAGAAUAGGAGGUAAGGUAUUCAAAACUCAGAAUUGGAAGAAGAAGGGAAAGUCUCCAGUAGAAACAGAAGCAACAGAACAAUUAGAGUUCCCCGCUCGAAGUAAUAGAUAUGAUAUAUUGGUCACCAACUCCAUGGGCUCUUUCUCUCAACGCUUUCUCUCGCUGACGAAGAAAGGACUCGGUAAGGGCACCGAACUAUAAAACAUGAGUCGUUGCUUGUCCCAUUAACAGGCGCUAAAUUCCUUAGGUAAGAACGUGCCAUCCGAAAGAAAGUCUGACUUAGGAUGAAGUUCGCCUUGGGCAAGAAGAAUUCAAUGCUAUAGAUCGGGCCAUAAAGAUGAAAGCGCUAUAGUAUCAAUAGAAGGGCAUGGGGGGAAAGUCAGCAAAUAAUCCCCUGUUAGCUACAGUAGGUACCAACUCCUGUAUACCAAUAGGCUGCAGGCCCAGAAGGAACUGACAUAAAUAGCGUUCCUAUAGUAAGUAGUAAGGUGAGGUAGAUUUGCACUUCUUUAAGGUAGAUUUCCACUUCGAAAAAAGAGUCAUCCAAAAGUCAUAUAUAUCUGUCAGUGAACACAAACUAAGGAGUCAUAAAUAAGUCAUAUAUAUCUGUCAGUGAACACAAACUAAGGAGUUCACUCGCUCUACACCUUUGACACAAUUCCACCUUUGUAGUAUAAGCUAUUAUUCCCACCCCAAACUACUAAUUCAAUUACAUAUUGUUUGGCGUUAAAUGACGAAAUAGCUGAUUGACGGGCAUUUCCAUGGAGACCAGUCUGUCUUUUGGUGGAAAGCUAAAGCGGAACACUUACCAAACCUGUGAAAAGCCUUUACAUUUCCCGGUCAAAAUGGGCAUACUAUACCAGAAACCAUAUAACCCCACUUAGAAUCUAAUAGAAAGUAGAAAGAAAGGGAACCCCUAUAACCAAGGUUGACGUUAUCAGCGAAACCCCUCUCCACGGACCUCCUGUACAGGCUUGCCUGGCCUACUCUUGCACACAUAAGGGUUAAAGCCGUUUUCUCCACUCUGGACUCUCUGCGACGCUAACUCUUUCAGUUAACCGAUUGCCGAAUCGGAAAAAGGUUCAAGGACAAAUCCAAUACUUAUUGAGUUACCGCACUGCGUAAUAUAUUGAACGAAUUGAUUCUCUAACUACAGGAAACUACAAAAUCCAAGUAGCAAUAUACAAGCCUUUAUAGCUUACUAUCCAGAUUAUGUUAAAGUAACUGUACUUUUUGCGAUGAAAGGUAUGGGAUCUCAAGCAUAUAGCAGUGACAGCACCUGUAGACUGGAAUGGAACCACAUCGGCUACAGUAGCAACAAGCUAGGAGUAAUCUGGGACUCCUUUUGAGUAGUUAUCCGUUCUCGAUUCACAGCAGGAUUUAGGCUCUAUUUUCAUUCGUUCUGUUUUCUGAGAUUAACAUAGGAGUCAGUGCAGUAUACUUAGCGAGUCUAACUUCCGCUUGUAAACAUUCGAAUAGUCUAAUCUCUCUUUGUUGGUGAUACUUUCUGGAGCAGUUGGCUUAUUUCACGCUCUUAUAGCUAGCUUAGAGGCCUUUUACUUACAUGAUCGGCGUAGUCCCAUUGAAGGGAAGCGCCAUACCUUAGUUGCUCGUCAUUGUCGAAAUCUCUUUCAUUUGACAGAGAGAAGGCCGAACCCGGCUUAUACAUGAAAUCAAAGCUACGCCUGGUGUUCUAACAUCAUAAUCCGUUCUUCGAUAACAAGCGGAUACUUCAUUAGAUCUAAUCCUCUCCUACUCUUUCUUAGAGUAACACACCGGUGAAUGGCUAGCUCUGACAAACAAAUAUUCGAUGGCUUGGCGAAGACCACUUCUAAGUUCUAAUUGCGUUAGGAGACUACCAAGGUGAUGAAGUUACAAACCAACCAAUAAACAUCUUUCCUUCUUCGUUUUCCAACUAAAGUCACUCUGCGAUUGCUCUCAGUGGGUCUGUAUCUCGUCCUUGGAUCAUUGAUUCUGGAGCCUCUGAUCAUAUGACUGGGUCUUCCAAAUAUAACUCAUCUGACUUUCCUGCUUCAGGCAAGGGAAUAGCUGAUGGUUCCUUAUGCUCUGUAGCAUGGAAGGAAAGGGUCUGUUCCUUUUCCCCACUUCUAUCUUCUACUUUUCAUCUGUAUUCCAUGUUGCUAAUUUCCCUCUCAAUCUUCUGUCCAUUAGUUCCAUUAAUCCAAAUUGGAAUUGAAAAGCCCAACGAAUUCUUUCUUUCAGUAACUCUGAGGACGGGAAGAUGAUUGGCAAUGGUAGGGUAAAAGAGUGCAACUAUAUGCUCGAGGCAAACCUAAGUAAGUUAACUGAGUGAAGUAGUCAAAAAGAGCAUUGGAACUUAUUUAGUCAGAGGGGGUUCAAUGAUAUUAUUCAUAGAAAAGAAAGAAGGAAAGCACCCGGGCCGGGGUUCCUCUUAUCUUUGGAAGUCAAAACGGUUCCCAAGCCCAGAAAAGUCAAUUGACGAAACAAGGUGAGCAACUCUAGCCAUUGAUCCAGUUGGAGUGGUAAGACUCAUAAGGUCAAGCCCCCAAGUGGUAGUGCUUAAGGUCAAGCCCCUAAGUGGUAGUGCUUCGUUCCCCAAGCAAGUAAAGACAUAGUGAAAUGCACGAGUCAGUCUUCGUUUGUGAAGUGAGUCCUCUAAGUUGUCGCCGAAUUCUCUUUUCGCGGAGUUGAGUUGAGGUAUCAGACCCCAUCCAUGUAUGUCCUUGUUUCAUUUCCUCCAGUAGUGGUUACAUUCUUUCCAGCAGUUCUCCAGCCUUGUCAGCAGAUAAAUAAGAAUAAUGGAUAUAGUUCUGGAAUCAAAGGUGAUUUUAUAGGUAUAGUGGCCCGUUUGUAGGUAUAGUUCGGCAAGGUCAAAGGUCAGUUUAGAGGUAUAGUUCGGAAAUGACAAAUCAAAGAAUAGAAGUAGGGGUAGUAAGCCCAACAGUAAGUAACGCCAGGAGCAAGUCUAAGAACGAGGAGAGUGAAAGUGGGUCUUUGGCCCUGGAGGAUACAAUAAGGCUUUGCUACUGUCAGUUCAUUCCGCUUAGUAUUGGUUCAAGUCUCUUACUUUUCAGUUGGAUUCCCUCUAUCAGUGGAUGCGCUACUGGAUCGUAACCUAAUUCUCCAAAUACGGAGGUUGGUUCUAAUACCCUAUGAGUAAAGUAAAGGAAUGAAAAGCACCUAGGCGCGUAGAAUUAGUUCCCGGCUUAAUGCUUAGAAGCAAAGCUGUAGUUCGAUUAUAUUCCCGGCGCUGCUGCUAAAAGAGUUCAACUUACAAGUACAAUACAAAUGCAAGGGUAUAUUAAGUACAGAACUAGGGCUUACACCCGGGACUAGGCAUUGAAGAAAGGAGUGCGAGAACAAAACUUAGAAGUCAUAAUAAGGAUUCCGGGUUACAAGAGUCAAAGGGGAACUACAGAAUUGAACUAGUGCUUACAGAGCUUUAAGUCUAUACGGAAUUUUCGAAUUUCACUCACAAACUAGGAAUUCUACUCUCAAGUAGGCGAACGAGCAAGUAAGAAUUGACUUCAUCACAUCAGUAUGGGACUCGAAGUGGUUAAGGAAACUUUGACUUAUAAGAGAAUUCAACCAUCGAGUCAGGAUACCCAGUGUGAACUCCCCUACCGCCAUAAAUACAUGAAAUGCUACCCCUGCCCUAAAGCCUUGUAAUACUCCUUUUGAUUACUUACUUGUUUCAUUGCUUAUUCCAAGGUUUAGUAGUCUGACAUUCCUGUCUGUUAGUCCGCCUAUCCGUACCCUAAUUCUACUAUACUGGGGUUGGUUCUCGUACGACUAAAUCUUCUUCUUUGAUCUACUAACCUCUACUGCUUCCUCGCUUCUUAUUCUAGUAGAGCAAUAAUAACUCGCUUCUUAUUCUAUGAUUACUUCCCCCUAUACAAUACUUGAGCUCGCAGCUGAUUUCCCUUCUACAGUUUCUUCAGUUGGGCCUAGACCUAGACUAGACACCUAGACCUGGACCUUGGAGAACCACUAACUCGAGACUUAACCGCUCCCGGCUUAGAGUAAAGAACGGAUCUUAUCUUAGCACCAACCUCUUCUACGACAAAGAGCGUAAGCAUAAAAACGAAAACCUCUUUCGUCGCCAACUGCCAUAAAAAGUCACGUAUAGCCGCCAAGGGCCAAGCGCCAAGACACGUAUAAUUAUUAGCCUACCUCUCCCUUCUAUUACUCUUGCUUUACUGUUUCUUAGCCUAUGUUUCCUUGUUCUAAGUCUCCUGAUCCCUUAGCUAGGCCUGCUCUUCCUUACUACUAUAGCAGACUUGACUUUCACUGCCAACUAUCCGACUGUAACUACGAUAGGCCUGCCUUCCUUUCUUGACUCUAAAACGGAUACUGCUUAAUCCAAUUCUGACUAUGAUGGCUUCUAAUUCUGACUAUCAUGGCUACUAUUGGUCUGCCCUUCCUCACCUCUGCAAACUGAUACUAAUGUCUUACUACUUGUCUUACUACUAUUAGGAUUGGGCUAGCGCUAACAAGACGGAUGUUACACCUAAAAGAAUAACCCCAAGAAGGAGGAAUUUGGCUGAUAGGAGCAAAGAUCAAACUGUGCCCUAACCCACUGGAACUAGUUUGACUGCCGCUACACUCUUUUUCCCUGACUUUUGACUAUAUCGUAGGCUACUAUUAGACUAAGUACAAUACUUCAGAAGUUAACUAGUAAUGAUAGGACUUGAAAUACCAAAUAGCAUAAUGAAACUAAGAAGUACAAGAACCAAUAAGCCCACAAUAGAAAGAAUGGAACUGUGGACAACCCUGCUAGAACUGCUGCUACUGCUCCCCAAACCCUAUGUGCGAUUGUGAGUCUGCCCCUACGGCUUUCAAUGUACUACCGACUUGAGCUUACUGCUAUAAGAAUUGAUCCACUGCUUCUGAGAGCAUAGCUACUGGAAAACAGACCCAGAACUAGUUACUAUUAGCCUGGCACUACGGACUUCCAAUAACUUUACCUAGAAUACGGGAACCCAACCUAUACUGAUGAGAGUCAAGUGAACAACUAGUAAUUCCAUCACUGAAAGCCAGGCUCGAGCUACUGGUUAACAGCCUUAUUACGCCUUCCUUUAUUCUGAGUUCUGAGUUAGAGUAUUAUAGGUAGAGUAGCCCCAUACUAGUGAUUCUAUCAAUCAUGUAUUGCUAGCGGAUUCUAUCAAUCAUGUAUUGUAUGUUGCCGGGGCCCUAUAUUCUUAUUGGCGUAUCAUAGAAAAAGAACUUAGCUCACAACUAAGACUGUUGUUACUGGACUCAAAGCCGCCAUUCAUGGAUCUCAUAUCCAUAUUUGUAUCUAGCACUGCUGGCACUGACCUCAAUGCUUGACUCUUAUCGGCCCCGCCGGUCUCUAAGCCUCAACUACGGACUUUCAUUCUCCAAUUCCAGAUCUAGCAUCUUGCUUUAGUGUAGAGUUUUGGGUUCCCGCUCCCGCUUCUCAGCCUUACUAUCCUUCCUUUCACUCUUUAACCACUGCGUCGGAUCCUCCAGCUGCGGAUCUCAUAUCUGUAUCCCUAAAUAAGGGCUUAGGUCUACUGCUUAUUUAUUAAUAGUAAGCUUGGUUCUACCUUAGCUAUAUGUUAUAUGAGUUGUUCUCUUAUUGUUAUUACUAGAUGCACACUCGUACGGACUCCUUAUUCCAGUAGAUACAAAACUUUGACAGUUGGAUUGAUUUCUUGUAUUUGUUAUUUAUAUCUUAUAAUAGUGGUUGUACUUAUCUAUUCUCUUUUACUAUAAUAUGAUUUGCUUAUCUAUUUACUUAAUAUUAGAAACUGCUCACUGAGUGCUUUAACUACUUAUUCACAGAACAGAGGGGAUAAAGAGAAAAGCGGAACAAAGAGUUUGAGCCCGCGCCUGUAAUCACGUCAAAGGAGAGAGCGAUUGAGAGACUUGAUUACGACCGUUAUAUAUUAGCCUUUUCACAUUGAUACCGAUACAAAGAGCAGAUAUGUGAGAUUAUGGAAUAUAGUAAGCAAGACGGAUUCCACUUUAGACUAGCUUUACCAUUACGAAAUACCACUCGGGGAGUUCGAGGGAAGAACCAGGAACCGGAUCCACAGCCGAAUAGCAACUCUAAGUAAGUAUACACGAGCAGAACUCAAAGCGAUCAUAGCGCCCCUUACCCACAUAGCCAUUCUUGCGGAUCAGCCGGGCGUUGCGUGCUUGUUUUGCAAGAUUUCGCUUUCUUCCUUCGUUGUAUCGAUAAGUGAGUGGAUCAAACAUGUGUUCACUUUCCAUUUUCGAAAAAGAGGGUGCUUCGUCAUCUUAAUGAUUUGAAAGUGGAUUCCGCCUACACAAACUACUACAUUGUUGCUUGGUGAGUCCCUGCGUUUGCUUCUUCGGUUUUCUAGUAGCAAGAUCUGGCUUUUGGUUGGAAGAUUGAAUCAGGGGUCUGAACGACGGCAUUCCAAGAAGCUACUUCCUAUGGUAUGGGAUGGUACCCUAUUGAUGAAUCUUUUCAGUCGAAAGAAAGUCAUUUCCCUUUUGUUACCUUCUUUCUUGAUAUUUCUCAAAGAGGCAAAUCCAUAUUUAUAUAAAGAAGGGCGGUGGGGAUGGUUAAGGCAGAAUGGAAAGAAAAGACUACUAAAUGUGCUAGCGAAGAAUUAUGGCCAACGAAAGAAAUUAGUAACUGACCACACUCUUUGCCAUUCGCCCGAAAGCAAGGGAAAUACCAGGAGGCAAGUCGAAGUUAAGUUCCUAUUGAGUUGAGGAAGAUGUUCGAUUCGGGUUCAAAUGAAUCUAAGAUCUCUAUUAGAGAAAGAAAGAGAAUUGUGUGAGUUAGAUUCGUGUGCAGCUGAUGAAAUAGCUAGGGUUGAUGAUAUAACUAGAACUACGGGUGUAUUGCUAAGACUUGUUUCUCUAUUCCGCAUUAAGUAUCAGGGGAAUUUGCCCUGCUAAGGAAAACACCUGCUUGCUGUUAUCAAAUUGAAGGUUUUACAUUAGUUCACAUUCAAAGGGCUUACGACUCAUAGGUUCUGCCCGUGAAUAAGAUCUGGGAUGUUUGGGAGAGUUGUUCCAGAGGUAGUUCAACUAGUCUAAAGUGGAAGCGUUUGGCAAGGAGUUAUUUCCCCAAUGAGCAUUUAGCGAUUCUCCAAUCUAUGUUCUAUUAAACGAUUCACCGACAAUUAGCCUAGCCUCCGAAGACAUGAUUCUAUAGUAAAGAAGUAUACAUGGUACGAAUGGGAUUGAGAAGGAGCUCUUCCCUUUGUCAGGUGCAUGGCCAUGUUGGCUCUUUCCUUAAAGCUGGGGAAGGAAAGCAAGGAACUGAUACGAAAAACUCGCAAAGCACAACUAGAAUAUAGCCUUAGACCUCAUCAAUCGAGGAAUCAAAGAACCAAUCGUUGAAAAAGCCUGAUUGCUAUUAUAGGGCUUUCUUAGGCCUUUGGGAGAUUUUAUUGAAUCAGAGAAAAGGUGAAGACAGUGCCCGGAAUUGGACAAAUAGCUUGUGCACACGAACAGAAGGGAGUGAAUCGUAGAACAGAGAGAGGGAGGUUUGGAUCUGAAGUUGGUAACGCCUAAAACGAUUUCUCGAAUCAACCGUGGAGCUAGGAUUGUCAAGAAGGAGGGGGAAUUAGGCUUCCGGUAGGUGGUAGGACAAAUAGCUCUUUUGAAGGUUCGAAACCCUGCUUGUCUCUAAUUGCUUUAUAUUGAUGGCAUUUAUAGUUCCAUCAGCUCUCCAGUGAAAUGUAAAGAGAAAGGGGAAAAAGAAAAGAAAGCGGCCCUGGGCCGAGUAGGAAAGGGACUCGUUUAUGGCCGCCGUCGGUUUAGACCACACUCCAAUUGUGCAAUGUCAGCACAGCGAAUUGGAUAUGCCUUUCACUAGCUCAACACAAAUGGAAAACACUUGUGAGCGCUUGUCAAUUGAAAGCACGGAGCCCUUCUCUGGAAAAACGAAAAGGGAAGGAAAAUCGAUUGGAGAGAAGAAUUAGCUCAAACUCUGUAAACCUCCUGAAGAGCCUAGGAUUUGUUAGAGAAAAUGGCACCUUGUUUAGCAAAGACCCCGGAAAUCCACCCGGGUAAAGAGAGCCCAAACUAUUAGAAACUAAAGAAGGUAAGUGCACACAUCUUGAAUCAAAAAAGAGCGGGCCCCCACGAGAAAUGAGAAUGGUACUGAAAGAAUGGGUCAACGCCAAUUGUCCGAAGAGUACGACUCUGGGCUAUAUCUUAUUAUCUAUCUGUCUAUCUAUUUAUUAUCCAUCUGUCUAUCUAUCUUGGAUGUCGUCCCUUGCCUUUCACUUUAGCUAGGUCGUGGGCGUAUCCUGUUGCUGCUAAAAAUGAUCUAUCGCUUCCUGCGCCUAGCCAAAAACGAAAAAACCUUCGGGGCAUCCUUUGAUGAAAGGACUUGGUUUCACAACGGCUUAUCUUGCUUUUGAUAUAAGCUCCAAACUUGACAUGUAAUGGCUGCCACAGGAUCAGACCCAGACAAACUAAUAGUGGAUCCCAUUGGAGUUUGAUGCUUGGGGGACCUUUCCGAUUGAAAAAGGGAGACGCCUAAUUGAUCAAUAAUUCCAUAAUAGAAUGAGUUCGUGGCUUGCUGAUCAUAGAUAGGGUUAAGGCUAACACAAAAUCAAUUGAAACCCGGAGUUCCACUUUCCAAUCAAGGAGUAUGGACGAAAUGGAAAAUCUCCCUAUGGACAUUUUGUGAAUCGAAAAUGUUGGGUUUAGUCGACUCGUAAAUCCAGAAUAAUGGAUUGACUACUAUGGAUAUCCCAGGCGGCCUCCCUAUACUCUGCCCACUCGCCCCUUGUUCUUUUGGGUCAACAGCAUUUGGUUCGGGUGAGGCUUCUUCGUUCCACUCAUUUGUUUAGUAAGUGUCUUGUCCGGCCUUAACCAUAGCAGACGAAAACGAUCCAUGCACACACAUAAUAAUGUUGCACAUAUGAAUAGAUAGAGACGCUGUUGUCUAACCCUGAUUGAUGAAACGUAGUCACUUUAAGAUGUCAUCUACAGAACAGGCGCUUGAACCUCUUUCUUCUCCCUAGGUCGAGCCCAACUUCCAUUUAUCGCAUCCAGACAUGAGAAUUGAGAACAUUAUACAGGUUCCACCUAUCUUCUAUUGGUCCUAGAGGAGAUCAAGACUGGUCUUAGUUCCUUUCCCGAGGCGAGGAAGUGAAGAUAAUUACAUUGAGAAAAGAACGAACCUAUUCUUAAAGAAAGAACGGACAACGAGAAGAAUGCACCAAAGAAUGUGUAAGCCCAAAGAAAGUGUAAGCAAGGAAGUGGAAUUGGGAAUGCACCAAAGAAAGUGUAAGCAAAGGAAGUGGAAUUGGGUUGAUUUAUGUAAGAGAAAGGCUUCCCUUACAAUUCAUAGGGUGUAAGCUGUAGUUGAAUACGGUGUUAUGUUUUUCAAGUGAAUAAGAGCCAAGCAACUAAAGAGACCGUUAUAGUAUCUUGACUGUUUCUUUCACGUACUUGGUUUCACUCGUCAAGCGAACAGCCCUUUUAGCAUUUGGAAAUGGCAUACAUAUAUAAUAUAGAGUUCUUCUUGGUAUUGGAUCCGCCCGUAAUCGUUGCCCGACCAACUCUUCCUUCUGUCUUUCCCUACUUUACGCCGUACAUUGAAGCAAGCCUUUACUUGGUUUUUCUCAACUAACCGGCUGACCAACUUGUCUUUCCUCCCGCCUGGAAAAACAUUACAAUCGAAUCGAGUCCUUGUGAAUGGGCAAAGCCAGGUGCUCUUAACGAAAAGAAAAGGUGCUGAAAGCCUUCCACUUCUAUUACUGACAAGGAAUGAAAAACCACCGUUGUCUCUUCGUCUCUCUACUCUUUUGCUCCUCUUUUUGGAGAAGGUAAUAGAGCUUCAAAGUGAACAACCUUUUGAGUUUUGUAGAAGCUAACUAUCCGCUUUCGCACAUGGGAAGUUGAUUCUAUCGCAUAUCCGCUUACUGCUGUAGCAUAUCUGCUGUUCACUACUUCUGGCUUGCCUUGUUGUUUACCAUAUAAAUGAUUAUAUACGAAAGAAAAGAAAACUAUCACUCGAACCAUCGUAGUAAGUCGGCUAGUCUUUUAGAGCAGGUGGCAUGAGAGCUAGAGCGGUCCUCUAAGCAUGUCGAUUCCUAUUUCACAGUGAUCGACCAAUCCUUACCUUUACACGACAGCAUCGAGAAUCUCGUUGAUACUUAAGAAAACGAAUCUCAUCCAAGUAGAAAAGCGAAAAGCCAUAUCGUACGAGUAAAGCUCGUGAAAGGAAAGAUAGAAUUAGGGUAGGGGCAAAUGUGUCCACCAAAAAUGUCCAUAGGGGGAUUUUCUCCAUUAUGGGAUCCAGGUCAAAACACCAUCAAAUAAUUCAUGCUUUUCUUUAUGAUUGGCCUUACACAUAAGCAGCCACCUAGAGCACAUGUAACAACGGCGGAACAAAAGAACAGGAAUUCCAGAACCGAACAGCUUACUUAUCGUCUAUCUAAAGAAAGAAGAGACUUCCUUCAUCUAUUAGGCCCAUGCUCCCAAUAAAGUGCUUACAAAAUCUUCUGAGAACCGAAAUCCCACGAAAGUAAGUAAACACAUACCCACUAGUUUUCCAAUCGAGAAAUUGAAGCUAGGCGAACAUAUCCAAUGAUAGAAAUGAGAUGAAGUAAAAGAUAGAACGGAGUUGGAGAACUAAAGAUCCGUGGUUGCUGAAGACCCUUCUCCUUUUCGGGGAUCCCUACUAGAAAGGAGUAUACAGCUCCACUUAACAUGGAUGUAUACUAACCUUGAUCUUUACACCAAGAAUGGAAUCCAUCCGGAAACUAAAGACUAGCACACCAUCCAAUCAGAUAAUCCUUCCUUAUACAUUAGCGCUGGAAAGAAAGAUAGCACAAAAGAACAAUAACGGAAUCUUAUCUAUACGAAUUCAUUUAGCCGCGAGCAAUCCAUGUUUUUCUCUAAAGAGAUCAUCCUUUCCUUCGUUCAAUUACUGUAUAUAUAAGUUCAGAAUCCUGUCCAAAAGGCAUACGUACAAGUUAUUAUGCCUUGACGGUUUAGCCCCUAAUUUCUCUAACUUGGAAUCAACAGAGAGCUUUCUCUCCCAUUUACAUUUCAUAAAGGGUGCGUGCCCUAGUUGCAAUACUUCCCGCAGGCGUAAUACAGCAUUGGAAGCCUAGAAAGAAAAGAAGUAUGGACUGGGGAAGUGCAAUACACUGGGGGACUUCGACUAUCUAUACUAUACUUUCCGGAUUGACCCUUCAAACUCAGAGACUAAUCCUAUUCUGUGACCCCCGGGGACAGGUACUGGCUCGCAGGAACUCGCAAUGGAACGUGAUUCCUCCCUUCCCUCCUAACUGGCAGGGCAACAGCAACAGACAGAGAACCAAGAAAGUACCCCAUGUAACGUAAAUAGAGGGCAUAGCACUAAGCUUUCUUCUACGUGGUUCUAUCAACCACAAACCACGGAUACUCAGGGUUUCUCACAGGAUCAUGGAUUUCCCUUGCCUUCAAGCUUUCCAAAGAAGUAAAGAAACUGGCUUGACUUGCAAGCUUGCACAGCGGAUAUACUUUUGAACUUAGGAUUGCUAUUUUAGGGCUGGGAAUAAUCCAACAAUUCUUCAUCGCUUUUUUCCAUUGCUUUUUAUAGCUUUCCAUUGCUUUCUGCCUAUCCCCCUAGUUUGAUAAGGAAUUCUUCUAAGCUAGAGCUUUCUUACUAUCUUGCUUUUGCGGCUUGCAAAGUGGUUUGCUUGCUCACUGCUUUACGAAAGCGCUUAUCUUAAGACUGCCUUCAAGGCCUUACCACUAAAGGAAGAAGGGAUCCCAUAAGGAAGGAAAGAAUCAAGGGGCCGGUUCAAAGCGUUGUUGGCUGUUAACUACUAUAGUAUCGGGAAACCUCCGGGCAAAGCGAAAUAUCCCCUCCAAUCUGGAACCUCCUUACUGCGGCUAAAUACCGAUAUCAUCUGCUUCAUAGUGGAAAUGGAAAGUCAGCUCCCUCGAAGAAAUGGAAAGUCAGCUCCCUCGAACGGAAAAACAGGCCUGCCAAACGGAAUCGAAAGAAAGGCAAACAGGAAAUUCCACCCUUGGCAUGACAGGAAGAAGGACUCCCACUUGUUUACUGGCAACUGCCACUGGACCGACAUCGGAAGAAAACGGAAAAUCAAAGAAGAGUCCUGGCCUAAUACACUUGAGUUUUUUGAAGAAAGAGAGAGACUCUUCCCAUUUAAAAGAGAAAGAAGAGAAGGAUAAGGUAUUCUGGCAAUAUCCGGCAUACUCCGACUAAUCGAUUCUAAUAUAAGGCAUACGUAGACUAUACUAAUCGAUUUUUUGGCCAUUUGCGAUCGAACAACCUAUGAACUGUUGUAGCCUACAUAACUGACCUACCAGACCAAGGCAAAGGGAAGAAGGUAUCAGAUAACUGUAGUUCUAUACCCCUUUCUUUUGAGAAACCAGUUCCUAUACUUUGAAUGAGAAAAAGCGAGUCAAAUAGUAUGGUCAAAGGGCAAGCCUCACCUCUCCAUUUCCCCCUAUCAUGGAAUUCAACUCCACUACAGUUUACUCACCAUGACAAGGGCCAGCGAUCUCACUACGAUAAGCUCCUUUACUUCAAAAAGAAAAGAAAACCAGAAAAGAGCAAACCCUUAUCCAUGAUAUUUCCAUAAGAUUCUCCUAUUUCUUAUUCCCCCGAAGGAGCUCCUUGGUGAUUGGUAUAGAGCAAAAAGGACACGAAAAGCUAUGUUAAGUAAUAAAAGGCCGAUAAUUGCUACAAAUAACCUAACACAUUUUUGUCAUGAUCAGAAUUCCAGGGGUGUUUCGCUGGCUCUUCUUUUUUCUCCCUGGGGGCUGGUUCGAAUCCAGCUCGUGACUUUUCUUUUCCUCGUUCACCACCCAUUUCACUUUGUAUGGAUACAUCCGGGGGAAGGCUUACAUACGCGUCCAUACUCAAGGCUAGAGUUUAUGACAAAGAAAUCAACUAAUCCUAUUUGUCCCCGGAAACGGAAGUCCAACCUGAAACCUCAUUUAAAAGUACUCAAAAACAAGUAAGUGGGAUCCUCUCCUUCCUAGGCAAUUCCAUAUAUUGACAUGAGGUCUUUUCCCUAAUUCUUUGAUCAAAGUCUUUUCAUUACAUACGUGUUUUGAUUACAUUCUUUACCUUUAGCUUUAGUGAACUGGCAAGUCGUAUUGUAUUGGUUAUUAGGCAAUCCGACCUCUUCCUACAGUAGGGUUUGGGUUCAAUUGGAUCUCUUUCCUUCUUGACUAUUAGAUUCUUAGGCAGAUGAAUUCGCCAAACGCCGACCCGCUCCAUCAGGACAAAAUAAAGGCGUCCGAGCGCAACAAGACCAGACUGCUAACUCAAUGGAAAAUGAAUUAAGAAAAAAGGGGUCGUUUUAUACUUCGAUGAAAGAGAGACUCAAAAAAGCAGAUGUAACACUCCGGAUACUUGGUACCAAAACACCUAUAUUGGUGUGUUGAUAGGAAGAGAAGAAAAAGACCAGAAAGAACCAUUCCUGAAUCGCCGAAAUUGAGAACAUAGAAAUGUGCCUUCACCCAACCCAUGUAGCAUUUUGGGCAGCCAAAAACACAGGGUGGCCAAUAACGGCUGCAGAGACUUUGAUGUUAUUAGCAUUUACUCAAACUCAUUAAUGACAUUUUCAUACCGGAAUUAUGACUGAGAAUGAAACCUUAUUCGCUCUGCUACAACGAACGAACAGACCAUUGAGGGUGAGUGAAACGGCUAUAAGAAAGGUCCUCUUUCCGCAGCAUCAGAUUGUGCAUUUUCACAUGAAAUUAAGGAUAGGGUGCCAAUAUUGAUUGAAAUACUGGGUUUCCGCCUAUUGACCUUCCAUUCGUUUCACGCUUUUCAAACAAUGAAUUCAUCUGGUUUUCCUAGGAUUCGAAAUUGACCUGUUUGCUGUAUCAGCUCGAACGAAGCUUUCAACUCCACUGCAAGCUUUGAAUCAAUAUCACUAUCCUCGGGCAACCUUUGAGUAGACCACAGGCGGGGCGGAAAGAAGCCUGCUAUCAAACCCUCUUUUGGACUUUUGAGAUCUUUCGUUUUUUCAAAGGAUUCCGGCACGACUCCAAUGCCUAACUACGACUUUUCAUUGAGUUACGGAACGACUACUUUCAUUGAUCCUUCUUUCUCCUGCGCUUCCUUCUGUGUCUUUGCCCACUUCUUUCUAUCUACGUUCUUUCUUCUCUGAGAAUGAUUCUAACCUUCGCUGAGCUUUGAACAUAGAUUUGAUCUCUAGUAAAUGACCUAAAACAAGAAACAGUAAUUACAAGAUUCCAUAUAUUGCCUCGCUCACAACUACUAUCAAAUCUCUCUUUGCCUCGCUCACAACUACUAUCAAAUCUCUCUUUGCCUCGCUCACAACUACUAUCAAAUCCCUCUGCCUAUAACACAUUUUUCAAUACCUUUCACCUUUGAGUUAGAUUCUCUGUUUCGGGGCUCGCCCUCCUCUCCUAUAUAUAAAAAGAAGUGACUCCGGAACUCCCUUACCAGCCUUUGCACUUCUCUAUUCGAGAGGAAUGGUUUACGCUUUGAGCUACUCUACUCUACUAUCUUUCUUACUACAGCAUUGAAUGAACCUCUAAGAGACCAUACUUCUCGAGUUCUAAAAUAGUACUAUAUUCUAAGUGAGUUAUGGCGGAAUGCUUCUUUGUCGUUCUAUCGAUAGUCCCAUCAGUCGUGAUAAAAGAAAGUCCGUCCUGCAGACCCUUCGACGGAGCGGAAUCUUUACUUUCGAGGUCGGGAAGGUAAGCUUCCUACUAUAAAGGAAUGAUUCGAGUUCACGUAACACUAAUGGAUUGGUAAUUGAAUAGGAAAUUAGUGGGAAGAAGAAGACAUUGACCGUAGGACAUAGCAGGUGAUUAAAAGGCAUUGAUCUGACUGAUGUAGUGGACUACGAAAGAUUGACUUCCUCUUCCGCUGGAAAGCAGGAAAGAUUGCAUUUACCCCCUAGCUAUCGUGCAACAAUCCGUUUUGUUGCUUACUACUUAUCUCUAUAGAACUAGCUUCAUCGCCUAGGAGCUAAAAGAGGAAGACAACUGCAAAGAGACUGUUAUUCUUACUCGUUCGCCUAUGAUUCCCGACUCCUGGCGGCCCCUUCGAAACCCCUUCACCCGUCCACUAAAAGAUAACCGAGAACCGAGAUGUCUAGCCGGAGUUUUGUAAUGAAUAUAAGGAAUUGGUACUAAAGGCAAUCGCUGUAUGAAUAAGGUGCAAACUCUAUCAUGGCUUCAGGGGCCUUCCAUAAGUUGCCUCUUACCCUGUUGUCGAUCCGACAGCACCAUCAAGCUGAUACCAAGACAUUUGAACCUCCGCUUUCAGCAGUUUUAUACUAGGACUUCCGUAGCCGAUAAGAGGCAAAACUCGUUGACCAUGCAAAAAGAAAUACGGGCGCUUUACCGUGUCACAGAAAUAGAUCACAUUUCGAGGAGACAAGAUCGGGUCAUAUCCCUCAGCCACUUUCAAUAAAGAGUGGAUACAGAUAUGGGGACUCCUACCCGAAUGCAAACUGGAAGAACUCACUUUCCUAUCGUUCAGUAGGCUUUCAAAUGAUUACCUGUUGUUAAUAGAAAUCGUUAUAGAAUUCCUAUGUUGACAAUCUUGCUUGAGAAUCUGCUUGUUACCUUGCCAUUACUGGCUUGAUCACUGGAAUAGAACUCUUGGGCAGAAGCACUUACAUGGACAGAAUUCCGCCUCUUUAAGGUUAAGGGAAUAGAUGUGGACGGGGCCAACUCUCAGAAGAUGCAACUUCAUUAAUUCCCCGUGGAUGUAUGGCAUCAGGAUGGAAAAUGCCUGGAAGUGAACUUACAAUGAAUGAAGCAGAGCUACCAUUAACCUGGAAGUGAACUUACAAUGAAUGAAGCAGAGCUACCAUUAACCUACCUAAAAAAAGAGAACGAUAAAGGGCACCAGAAAAAAGGGUUCUCGUAUCUCACUCACUAAGCUGUCCCCAAAAAGAAGGAAACUACAACUGACUUGACUGGAGAAAUAGAACUUCCAGCUAUUGCCCUGUCCUUUAGGAUUACAGCAUUUCCACUGGAAAAGGAAUGGAAAGAGAAAAACACUUAUACUCGGUAUAGGGAAGUAGAAAGCUCAGCGGAAUCGAAAGAGGCUUACCCUAGAUUGAAAUUCGAUAGACUUCAAAAGGUUAGCAGCAAGAAAGCCAGGAUAGAAGGGCAGAGAAUGAAUCGGAAGAUGGUUCCUCUGCUCUGUACUGGAAUGAGUCUUAUAAAUAAGGUCUUUGCAGCGAAUACGGGUUAAUGGAUAUUCUCUUGCCGGAAUCGAAUUCCACUGGGCUAAUGAGACAGUGCUUUCAAGCCAGAAGCUGUGGGAGAUCCUGUUUCAAUAGUGGCUUCUGUCUUGCCUUCGCUAAACAAGUUUGAGUUGCUUUCCUUUCCGCAGUAUCUUAGGCUCAGAAUAAAGCAAAGUAUAGAGGUUAUUAGGGAAGCUCUUGUCUCGUCUGGACUACACGCAAUCUUUAUCACACCAAGACAGGAGUAGAAGUACCUAUCUUGUGAGAGUCAGAAAGUGCCUUAGUUAAGUAGAUAUGGGAUUUGAGGCUAGUUUUCAGUAUACAUUUGAAGCUCAUAACUUCUUUUUUCUUCCUCUAGGGAAAUUGGAUUAUUGAUUCCCCUGGUGUGUAGGCCCCUAUCGUUGCAUUGAAAGCGGAGUCAAUUCCGGAGUAUUUCCUGCACCACGGAAUUAGGACUAAUCUUCCUCUGCUCUUUAUUAGUUGCCACUAGCUGCAUACCAAACUAAUUACGAAAUGUGGCUUACUGUACUAUUGUGGGUGGGUAAUAUCUAAGUUAAGGCCUUACCCUCAUGCCGUGUAGUAGAUAAAUAUGAAUCGCCACCUUACACCUAGGUCUCUAUAAAGCUUACCUUGAUCCAAUACUUCCUUAUAUACGAAAGUGCCUUCCAAAAUGCCAGGUAUUAUCAUGGAAAGUCUCUCAUUGAGUAGCCUUAAGUAAUAGAAAAAGGGUGUUUAGUAUAGAAAGAAUUGGUAAUCAGAGUAAGUCCUCAACACUUGACAAUAGGGAGUGAUAGAUUGAUGAAAUCCAGCCACCGCCUCCACGUAGCGACUUUGUUACGACUUUAUUAGUGGUCUGAGCUUGGGUUAGUCUAUUUCAGACCGGCACACGGUUACCUCCCUUCGACCGCCUUUUACACGUUGUCUUCUUUGUCGUCCAAGAACUUUCUCACUCCUUUAGACUAAAAGCGAGUAGGCCUUCUUUUCUGCACUUAUGUAAUUUCCCUAUAUAUGUAUUUCUGUCCAUUCUUCGCGAUAGGAGAUGCAAUGCAGCUGGGUGCCGAACUCUGGCCUGUGUAUGAAAGCGUAACUAGUGUUAGCUCUUUUGAAGGGAAUAAGCCACCUAACUCCUUGCUUGCAUCCCGCCCCAACGAUCCGGUGCUAAACGAAAGAAAUCCCGGCUAUGCCUAUUCUUCCUUGGUUGUAGGAUAGCUCUUAGGUAAAUACCUUGAUGUUCCUCCCGUUCGUUAAGCGAGACGGUGAAGCUCUAAGUGGCAAACAUCUCCUUCAGGGACAGCGUUUCUGGUAUGAGUCUUUUCGUAACUACUCUCAUCCCCAGCCCUUGAAGUUAGUUCGGGUUUAGCAAGCUUUUGAAGAACCUAUCGUCACCCAUUCCACAGAUAGGGAACGUCAGCCAAGCCUUUAGUGUCAAACAAUUCUUUUUCGGUAGCGAGCGCAAGUCAAGCGGUGGCCAUAUGGAAAGGGCCUUUGGAUUCCUCGUCGAAGGGAAACUAUGUCUCUAAGAAAGCGAAACCAAUAGGCUAAGAAAGAUCAAACCGGAAACUACAACUACGAGUAAGAUAGAAUCUCAUAGCAGGAGUCGGGAACGGGACUGGUCUGUCUUUUGAACAAUAGAAAAUCACUGGUGUGAUAGAUAUAGGUAUAUGGAAUUGGAUUAGGUGAUUGGGCCAAGCAACAUAGUCAGUUGCGCGGCAGGGCAGCUAGUUUAAGAGCUCUCUAUCACUGGAACUCUACUUUGCCUCACUAGUUGACUUGUUUCCCUUUACGUAAUCCCACUCUGCCUGGCUAAUGAUGAGUUUCUUACCUUAACCGAUUCACAGCGGAUUAUCUUCUUAUUAACGAUGAAACGGAUUCCCUAUCUUAUUCAUCUGAUACUCCACGUUAAGAACCACUAGCUUAAGAUCUUUCCACUGCGGAUUAUUCUUAUUAUCCUUAGUCUGCUUCAGGACUUAGCGCUUCAAAGUAAUGAACACCAAAAACAGGAGAAGUGGGGCGGGAAUAUAAGUUGGAUAUGGAUCAGGGUCUCAUGCAAUGCAAGCUCACCGAACUAACAAACUUAUUGUUUUGGGGUUGGAUAGCUAACGGCUUAUUUACUUGUGUAUUAGUGAGUUCCCGAACACAGGGCUUUUUAUAACUCAUACAGUUGUUUAGAAUCCACAGUCAAGAAACAAGGUAUUAGUAAAGAGUUGAAGACCGCUUAGUAUUAUACUCUGGCUCUUGAAACGAAAACAACCCUUUAUUACCCUUACCUGCUUGCUGGUUCCCUUGCAAGGAUACUAGUAUUCAGUAGAUAAGCCCGUAGUGUAUUCUGUAUUCUUUGUCAGUGAUAUGAGAUUAUGACUUUAUUGCCUACCUUUACUCUUUAUUCAAGAUUCUACCUUUCCUACUAAAUCCUCUUUAUUCAAUUCAAGAUUCUACCUUUCCUACUAAAUCCUCUGACGCUAGUGCCACUUAUAUAUCUGCGAAUGAAACAAUAAAUGGAAAGAAUGAAACGAACAACUAAGAAUUCCGCCGAGUGUCCUAUCCUAUCCUGUGACAAAAUUCCAUAAAAUAAUUCACUAUCUAUCUUCUUUUCUUCAAUUCCAUUCAAAAGGUUCACUCUUUACGCACAGAUCAAUUGCAAUGUAAAUGACUCCCUUUCCGGAUACUGAGUCAACUCCUUCUCUUUCUUAAUUACUGGCUUCUCUGAUCUCUAAGACCUAACAGGCACUGCGGAUUCUUGAGUCUACUUCCCGUUACUUCCCGCUUGUUGCCUUGUUGCGCCUUUAUUAGUAUACGCUUGUUUAGUAUUGUUGUUCAGUUUGCUGUGAUUGGAAGCACAGUUCUAGUUUGCUCCCUGCCGUCCGUUGUUAUUCCAGUUUCUCAUGUUAUCUGGAAAAGUUCUCAUACCAAAUACCACAUCGGGUCUGCCAUUCCAGAAAAGAAAGAGCAAAUCCCAAAAACCUUUCGAACGACUUCUGCGCCAAAACACCUUAUCCUUUAUCCCUGCUGUUGAAUGGGACUCCCCAAGCCUUCCGUGUUCAAAUGCCUUUGCUUUGGUCUCUGCGUCGCUUAGGCUGGUUCAAUGCCACGGGAGGAACAAGUCAAAGCUUUUAGAGUUGCAUCACAACGGCUCUCUCCUGCCACCUUAAUGUCGAAGGAUAAUGAAUAAAGAAAGUUGGGUAGAUCUAUACAUUCCCGUGGAUCAGAGAAAGUAUGUUGUAAAGGCAAAAUCCAUCCAUUCCUUUAUAUCCGUAGGAAGCUAAAGCUGACUCGGCCAAAAUCAGUAGUCAAGGCAAACACUCUCGGAUCCAAUAGAGAUUUCUCCGGCCCGCUUCUAAACGAGGAAGCUGUUUUCUCUUAGUAAUGGCCUCAAUAGAUCUAUCUCUUGGGCAAAGUAGACUGCGCGGCUUCGCUCGUUCUUCUAAAAGAUGGACUCGUGCCUGAAUCCGAUAUGAGUCAAAUCCGAUAUGAGUAAGAGGUCUCAAUCUUCAAGUAAUCGGUAGAAUCCCUCAUUGUUCAUUUGCUCGGGAAAGAAAUCAAUCCAGAAAUUCUUGAGGUUAGUCCUCUAUGAGAUCCUUUGGGAGUGAAUAAGUAAGUUAUGUAGUCCAGGAAUAGGAUACUAGAAGCUCCGUAGGGAAGGGCCAACUCUGCCGAAGUGUCAAAUGGAUAGAUAUAGAUAUAGAGAAAUAGAUAUAUAUAGAUAUAGAUAUAUUAGCAACGAGUGAACCUUAGUCGAAUAGUUAUUAUUUUGCAACGAGUGAACCUUAGUCGAAUAGUGCUUAUGGUAGUAAAGAAAGAACCAGACUUCUAAAACCACUUUAGGGGGCGAAUUACUCAACAGGACAAAUAGGGAGUAAUCUUCUUUUGAUGGCAACGAAGCCGAUAGGACUUACCCCCUACAAAGCUGAGGAUUAGCAACCUAUAACUACCCAUUUAUGAAACAAAAAGAUUAAUCCAUUCCUUAUGAAGCGAGCACUACUCUUCAAAGCCAAGCAUCAAAGUCAAAAGUCUAGGCCCUUUAUUCUGAAACUUUGCAAGAAUACGAGUAUAUUUCUGUGCGAGUGGAAUCGGAUUAAGAAGAAAGCUGUGCUAGUGCUCUGUCAUUGUAUCAAGAAGAAAGUAAGGAUCUGAGGCAAAAGUGAGAUAUGAAGCUGGAUCCGUAUAAGAAUACAUAGUUAGGAGAAUAAUAUGUUUCAGGGUAUUUACUGAUUUCUAUAUCUAUGCCAGGUGCAAGAAAGUGAGAAUCUAAUUGAACUAAUCGAAUUUCGGAUCAAGACCCGCAAGUAGAGUUAAGAACGAGAAUUAUUAUAUGUUAGUGUUUCGUGUUCUUGUUUCGGAGUCUCUUUCUGUUCGAGUGCAAUCCUAUCCUAGUGCUAGUGUUGUCGGUGAAGAAAGAAGAGUUAUUGUUAGGGAUUCGAAGCUGUAUCUGGUUCAAGCAUAGGUAAAGAAUAUGGUUAGGAGACAAGCAACACCACUGUAAACUCUAACAUCAAUUUCUUCACUGUGAUGCUAUACCGAGUUCUAUAUGUUUCAACAACUCAUAUACUGCCUUACACUGCUUCCCCUUCUUGGUAAUCUUACUGACCUGCAGGCUUGGUUUGGCUUUUGCCCACCUCAACUCUCCUGACUUUCUCACUGGAACUAGCCCAGUUCUUGUUCUUAAGUAUGGGAAUGGAUAUGACCAGUGUAUUUACUCGGUUCUCCACCAAGUGCUUAAUGCUGAAAUUCAUAAUUGUUGACAUAGGUAUCGGAGCCAGAGCCACUAGUAUUCGCCUGUCCGGGGUGUGUGAAGUUAGAAGUCCGUUGUUUGUUUAGUAGCAGUUGUGACAGUCCUGUGUUAGCCUGUCCGAGAGAGGAAAUAGAUAACAUGCCCGGGGUAGUCAAUUAGGGAGUAUAAGUUUGAAAGUGGUAAUGAAACUCCAAGGGAAUAAGUAGCUUUGGGAGAAUCUAGUACAGCUGGCAAGGAAGGGAAUAAGUAGCUUUGGAAGAAUCUCGUACAGCUGGCAAGUAAGGGUAUAGCUAAGCAUAUUCCUCAAUAAGAGGAAGAGGUAAUACAAAGUCAGUUGGUAAUAAAUAGUUCUUAAUAUCAUAUAGAAUCCGGAUAGUAAUUCUCAGAAUUGAUAGACUUAUGUUUCAAAUACACUAUCACAUCACUUAUAGGGACAGGGACAUAGGCACGGGAAGCCUCAGAAGGAUAAGAGACUCAAGUUGGCAGUUCGGGUCGGGUGCUUAUGCUAGUGAGAAUGAAACCGGGUGCUUAUGCUAGUGAGAAUGAAACCAGGUAGUUCCAGGUUGACAGCCAGGUUUACAGCCCCUUAAAAUAGUGGAGUAGUCUCAUCUGUCUUUCAAGAAACAACAAGGAAAUCCAGAAAUAAAGAAAACAAUAAAUACAGGUAAGUAUACUAGGACAAAGAAAACAAUAAAUACAUAUUAGGAACCAGUGAAUAUUCAAGGGUAAGACAAGAGGGAUGGAUCUAGACAAUUAAGUAAGUACGAUCUAGCCAAUUAGGUAAUAAAUAAGGAGUACAGUUAAGAGGAGAGGCGAGGUCGGGUUGGUUAAGAGAGGAGCCUAGCCUCAUUAAGUUAUUAGUUGACAGUUGCCAUAGGUAGAUUAGCCUGAGUGAGAUUAGAUGGAAAGGUAUAGUAGCCUUAGGGGUCUCAUAGAUGGAUGAGGGUAACUAACCCAAUAAGAUAGGAGCAAGGUCACUAAUUGUAGUUACUUGUCUGCUUGGCUCUUCUAUUUAUAUAGGAGCACGUUUAGAAGAAGUUAGAAUAAGACAAGAGGGUAUGUAUAAGAAUGAAGCUGGCUUAUACUUACUAGCGCAUUCCCUAUAACUAUAGUGAGUAUUAGAUUAAUAGAUAAGAUAAGAUAAGUGUGAAGUCAGGUUUAGGUAUUGAAUGAAACUCAUAAGCAAUGAAAACAGGGCUGGCUAGUAUAUGUUAUUCUAUUUCGAGUACCUAUGGAAUAUGUUAUUUAGUAUAUGUUAUUUAAAGAUAUGUUAUUGAAAGUCUUAAUUCCACUUGUAUAGUAGUUGCUAAGUAGACUGGGCUCCCCGACUCUGCUGUAUAUAGCUAAGGCUUCUUUUAUAUAUCUCCUACCCAGGACAGGUUAUCUAUCUCCUAUUCUGGAUGCAACUCCUAAUGAGAAUUCCCACUCCGGGUGUUCCUGUGCCCUUAAGUAAUUGGGAAAGAGCAUCUUACUGGCUUUGAGUCGAGGUCUCGAUUCUCCUUAGGGUCAUUUUGACUUUAUCUAGGAUUAACAGCGUUGCUAAGGUCUUUAGCGGGGUUCCCAUUAUGUCUAUUGUCUUCCUAGUUAGCUGAAAGAGACAGCAAGCAGAGGAAGCAAACAAGCCGGAAGCAACAAACUCACUAAAAAGCCCUCUAGCUCAAGGGAUUUAGGGCACCAGAAGAACUCGUAGAAGCCGAGAGAUACUGAUUCGUAAAGGGCUUCUGGAGCAGCCAUAACGCGUCCAAAGAAAUGGAAAGAGAAGGAAAAAAGGGGGCGAAAAGGAAGAGAUGUUAGCAACUCGCUCAGAGGCGGGCUGAAAUAACUACUAGAACUGGCAACGAUGGGGACACACAGAGCUAGGCUAGUAACAGCAGCUCCAAGACAGAUGCGGGAGUCCCAGCCAAGAAAAAGAUCGGAUGCUUCACAUGAACUACCAACUGGAGGGCAAGUCGAAGAAGUCCAAUUUCUGAAAGUUCGUAUUAUUAACACUCUCGAGAGCGGAUGCUAUCAAAGAAGGAGCGGCACUCACGAGAGAAGAAGUAUCUAGAAGGAUAGAGGCUGCUCUACUAUGUCAAAAUAUCAUUGUAUCGCGAGAAGACCAUGCAGAGCGCGGACAUCACUUUCAUAUUGGCAUUUUCAUUGAACAGGGAAUUUCGAAAAAGACAGCACCCAGAAUCCUAAGGAAAGUAUUCCCUGAAUUCGAAGGCGCGCAGCUCAACGUGUCCUACCACAAAGCAUGGGCAUCUGUGUUCAAUAUAUCCUGAAAGAGGACUCACAGCCAUACCCGUGGGGGAAACAAACUCUACACCAUAUGAAGGAAACAGUGAAAGCACAGGGGACACAUAGGAAAAUGCCCGAAAGAAAUAAAGAGAUCGUCAAAAAAGAAAAGAUCUCGAUGAAUGGCAACAAGUUUCUGAGGAGCCCCGGAUAUUCUGAAACAAAUCUUCUCUUCCUAUAACUCCCUAAAAGCGGUCUUCUAAGAUAUGAGAAUCCUCAAAGAGAAAGAAAGCAGGUUGCAAGAAAGAUUCCAGAAAGACUUAGAAAGUAUGGGAUGGCCCGCGGAGUAUACUAUACCAUAGAAGAGUUGCAAGAAAAACACUUUUGACUCGACAGGCUGGGAUGCAACCUCGUCUUUUGAAGACCAAUAAAUCCAAAACUGCUAUGACUUUAUGGAGAACCAAGCACACAAAAAACACUCAUCUUCGAAAUGCUUAGCGCCGUGCUCAACAUAUACCACGCAUCCUCCAGAAAGAAUGAUUUCUCUCGGGGGAGAGCACAUGAUCAUUAUUACAUGUGGCUAUUUUACGAGUUCCAUGUUGCCGAAGAUAAGAAUAUUAGCGCAUAGGAAUCAGUCAAGCUAUCAUGGCUGCGUCUAACAACACUAUACUAAGGGUGCUAGAUGGACAGCAGUGCGGAUUAGAUUCCAAAUAUGGGGAAGGUUAUUUAACAAAAGAAGAAAACUCCAUUAUACCUACUUAUUGAUUUCUUUGACUUUCCUUUUCCAUUGCAUCUCUAAGAAAGCACCCUGCAACUAUAGCGGGUUAUCGAUAUGAUGUCCAGAAGUCCUAUAAUUAGCUGAAAGAGGAAGGGAAAGCUACCUCAUAGCAGAAAGUAGAUAGAUUUCGCAAAGUGUGCUCUAGUGGUAUCUAGUUUAGGAAAGUGUCCUCUAGUGGUAUCUAGUAUAGGUUAAGAAAUCUUUGAAGACUCUUAUUUAAUAUAGCAGAGCGGAUCGAGGAUAUCAUUCCUGUAAACAUAGUAUUGUCUAUCGCCAGAAGUCCCAAAACCAGAACCCAAGAAACUAUGAAGCGAGGGUUACUGAGGAGAGGUGGGCAAGUCACUUGAAACUUGAUAAACAGCUUAAGUUCAAUGAAAAACAAUGUCAAAGGAAUUGCUCAUGGCAACGUACUAACUAACACUCAUCCUUAUAUGGGAUAGGACUUUACUUAGGAUGCAACUCGAACAGCAUCUUUGAUCUUGACCUACUCCGCGGAAAGGAGAUACUUCCCUCAGACAGGCAAUAACAACUGACUCGGUAAACAGGACCCUACCCCUUUCUUUACCUCAAACAGGAAAGCUUCAGGAUAUCCCCCCGCUCAAUAAAAGUAUGGGGGAGGCGCAAGGAGAAGAGAAAGACAAGUCAAAAGAGAAGGUUAAGAGCACGGGGUAGUGACAUAUUAUCUCUCUUUAGGGGCUGUCUAAGACCUCCGUUUCAUUCUCUGUUUUUCAAGAAGGCGCUAGAUUCAUCCAAUUCCGUCUUAUUGGCCAAGGGCAUAAAGAUGUGGUAGAUCGCCAGCAAGGGAAGAAUUCCAUAGGUAUGCUCGAUAUUGGCAAAAAGGGAGAGUUGACAGUAAAGUAUCAGAUUCCAAAGAAAGGGAUGCCGUAUAUCACUCAGUAAUUUGAGAAGGAGUUAGGAGUUGAGAGUUAGUUUCAUUCUGAUGAGUAGUGGUCGAAAACUGGAAUUGUCAUAGUGAUUACAACCCUUUACUUGAGCUCCUAACGCGGCUUAUUCUUCGUUACUAGAGUUGGAACUCCAGAAAUAUGUUCUGUAGGCCAGUGAGACAAUAAGGCUUAUCAAGAGGCUACUGUUGGUGGACCAAGCGUAUACUAGUUGGUGUACUCCUAAAUUCUUCAAUGCCAACUUGUUCCGUAUAGAAUACUACUAAGACUAAGACUACUAAUACAAAGAAUACAUACUUACCUAAACUCCGAUAACUAAACUAUAGAGACAUAGGAUUGAAGUUCAGAGCACUAGACUAGAGGGUGACCAAAAGAGAGUAGAGGCAAAUCAGGAAAUCAAUAGUAAUGAAUUAGUAACUAGCCUAAAAGUCAGAAUGAAUAGAGUGGACUUACCUCUUCACUCCCUUACCCACUCCUACAAGUUCCAUAGGGGCUCCCCCCUUUUUCUUUAUGAUUCUAUUUCGAUUACCGGAGUUGGAAGAAGAAAGGCGCAGAUAUAUAAGUGGCACAGCACUUCCCGCUGACUUAACCGACGGAGAUGAUCUUUCCACGAGCAAUAUUGUAGGUGAGCGAAACUAAGUGAGUUUGAAUUGAAAUGAAAUAAGUCGCAUAGUAUAGUAUAGAAAGAAGUAAACUAAUGACUUGCUUUAAGAACGGAGAAUGGAGGCAGGCAUACCUAUAAUGAAUUGUAAGAAACGAGAAUGGAGGCAUAACAGCAUUGAGUACAAAAGAGGAGAGGUCUCACUUGUUCUCCGUUAGCUUUUAAAUAAACAGUACUUUCUUCCUCCGCUCACUCUACUUUAAGUUCCUUUCCGGCUGACAAUUGAACUGCUUAACCUAGAUCUACUUGUUAUCUUGGCACUGGCACUCUGACUAUAAAAGUAAGUCCAUUCUUCUACUGAUGCAGCAUAUGCUGAUUAUUUGUCUCUCUACUCCUUACCUAGAACAGGAAGAACUGGCCGAGCUACAGGAGCUCUACUUUCACUUAACUUCCCGCUUCUUCUCCUGCCGCGUCACUACUAACAAAGCAACUACUAGAGAGAAAGUACCAUUUACUGGAUAGAGAGAAAGUACCAUUUACUGGAAUUCCAGAAUGUAAUGUUGGAGCACACGACUAGGUUUUGGCUAUAAAGAGCAAACAAGCAAUUACUACAAGCAAGGGCUAAGAACUACAAGCAAGGGCUAAGAUAGGAAGGGGCGAUUUCCCAUAAAACUACUGAACCAAGCUAACCGCCGAAGACAUCUUAUUGGGCCGAGCGUAUACCACAAAGGCAACUAAAGCAAGGAACUCAAUAUAUAUAAAUGGGCUGUUACCAAGUCCUGUCCCCUUAAGUAAUUGGGCGUUAGGAUUGAGUCUACUAACCCAUGUUCAACUACGAGAAUAGCUAAUCCACCAUUCAGGUACCAACCAACAAGAGCGGAGCUCCUAACGCGGAAGAGCCUUGACUUUGUUAAUCUCUUAAUCCGCUACGUGGACAUGAGAAAAGAGAUGAUUCUAUAGAUGAAACUAAGGUUAAGCGCCAAGAACGGAUCUCUAUGACUCUACUUCAACACAAUUCUGUAAACUUCCUUUCCUUACCACCCGGACUUUGAAUCCACUAUGGGAUAUGCUUUACCUAAUCCUGCUCCAUAUUCGAAACUUUCAGUACCGCCGGAACUUUCACUUCUUUCUUGCGCCGAGGCUGUAAGUGAUAGAACUAGCGGCUACUCAAUCAAAGAGAAAUUGAUGAACUGACCAUAUAUCUAGAAAAUGGGAAUGCACCUAGAAACGUAGUGACUUUAGGCGCCUACCUAAGCUUAUUUGUUCUUGCACCCCUGGAUACCGAACAGCUCUUUCUCCUUCUCUUAUUCCUGCUUCAAUCAAAGCCAGUACCUUAUCAAGUUUCUACUUUUCCUUGAGACUCAACCGACGCAGAACCUAUACCUAUAUCUUAUCUGCGACAAACACUCGAAAGAAACUAGUAUGAAGUUCAGGACAGAUGCGCUUGAUACAACACCGCUACUGAAUUAGGACUUGGUAAUCACUCUCGAUUACAGGACAAGGACAAGCAACCAAUUAAGUCUUUACCACAAGACUGCAUUUACUACUUGCUGAACACAUGGGUUAUACUGGAGAAUCUCCCAUACCUAUAAACCUAUAUCCCUUUAACCGACUUUCAGUUAAGAUUACUCGCUUGCUGCUGACUCUCUUGAUGGUUCUUUUGCCGACCCAUCCUAAACUACACUUGAAGAACUACUUGCAGCACUUGCAGCUGACCUUGAGACCCGGACUGCCCUUAGAAUGCAUUUGGACUAUUUCCUAUUAAUAUAGCCCUCCAGCUAGACAAGCGUAACUCUGACUUGCCCCUGCUACGAAACCAACUAAUAGAAAGAAGGUUAGCCACUUCAAGUAAAGCAUCAGCAGAGCGGUAUCUCGGAACAGUAUCAUCAGAAUCAACAGGAUCGGGAUCUGACUCAGUGCGUAAGCGAGUUCGGGCAAGAACAAAUCCGACUAGUAACUGCUCCUGAUUCAUCGGUUAUGAAAAUAGAGUGAGUUCGGUUCGAGGAAGAAGAAAAGGAAGCCAUGUCUUUGCUUCUAUCUAUACAAUGUGUUACUUAUCGAAAUCAAGUCAGCCAAGUUACUACUAUACGCCAAGGAACGGAUAGACAAGAGCUAAGCAAGAAGGAGUGAAGUCUAGAGUGGAGUUACUUGCUUCUAAGUGUGUUAGGGAGUCUUUAGUAGUGAAAGUUCUUUACCGCUAAUGGGAGCUUAAAGCACUGAUAUUAGGAUCCAAUUCAUUAGUAGAGCCGAUAAGUAGGUGAAAUAGGGUAGCAUUUCCAAAGCGAAUAACAUGUGGAGGCUAUGAAAUAUUUCGUGCCCCAAGGUAGAAUAUCCGUAGCAAAAAGAAAAGAGCCUAUUCGUAUAUAUUCAAGCCCUUUUCCUCACUUAGCAAAAGAAAGAGCCAAAGAUCAUAUUCAUGUGCAAGAGUCGCUUCUAAACUUCUUCAAUCAUAGAGAAAGUGGGCGGUUCGACUGGUGCUUUUGUUUGACUAGGGGCAUUAGCCAUAGGAAGUAUAGUAAGGUCAGGGAGUGAGCAAUAGGAAGUAUAGUAAGGUCAGGGAGUGGUUUCAACCCGUCACCGAGGGUUAUUCCAUUCAUUCAUCUUGUUCUACUAGUCUAUGCUGGUUUGUUUGCCGGGGUCUUUUCUCUUAGCGAAAAUCCUGUACUCAUCUCCUUCUUGGGCACUUCCCAGUCCACAACAGACCUGAUCUUCUCAAGAUCCAUCUGAACCCUUGCUGAUCCAAUGGCCAAGAAAUUGCACUUUCGUCUGAGCACCGUUUCAUAUAAAGCUUAUUUUAUUGCUACACCCCGAACACAGUACUCCGGCCUCCAGUGAUUUACUAUAAACGAUUAUGUUCUCGAGGUUUUCCACUACAAACAGGUCAAGGUUAUCCAAAAUGGAGAUUGUUCCUUUAAAUGACUCAUAUAUAUAUAUAUUACAUCUUACCCUCAAGGUGUCAAAGCAUGUAUUUCAAAAAAUAGCUACUUUAGGCUCGCUAUAAGUUGACUUAAAAGGCAGGCAUCUCUCUAUUGAUUAAGCAAUAACGUCUAUAAGGCAGGCAUCUCUCUAUUGAUUAAGCAAUAACGUCUAUGUUCUGCCACGUUUCUAUAGAUAUUGAAAGAACCCAUUUGUGGGCCGCAUCCGAAAGCAAGGCUCAAGGGGUGUCUGAGCUAGCAUGCCCAAUCUUAGUUAGGAUUGCAUCAGUUAUAUAUACGCAAUUAUCACUUGCAUUACAUAACAUAAUACAGAAGCCCGAGCCAAGGAGGAGAUCAUCAAAACGCCGAGAGCAGGGCGAAGGCAGCAUCCUCUUUAAAGCCCGAACAAAGUCAGUGCGUGAAUACAUCCUCGACUAACUUCAAUGAGGGAGAUAUACAAUAUAUACUUUAGUAGAGGUCGGGUCGGGGUAAAUACAUAUUUCUUUGCAAGGAGAGGAGAUGGGUUAAGAGUUGAGUUAGCCGUUGCGCAAGGGAAGGAACUAGAAAUCCAUAUUAUAGGCGUCAAUGCCAUAGAACAGCUGAGAAAGGUCUGAGUUAGUGGAUAAGACAUUUGAUUAAUGGAACAGACGUUAAAGGACGAUAAAUAAGGGUUUGCAGUGGUUUUGCUUGUGUCUAAGUCUGGAAGGGGAGUGAUUGUGUCUAAGUUAGCGCGAAAAGUGCUUGUUUCAUCGUCUUAAGAAGCUGUGCCCGGAAUCCGCAGUGCGUUUGUAAGCUGGAAAGAAUACUGGGUUCAGGUCAGGGGGAAAGUGGAAGAGGUAAGCUACUAGUCUGAGAUAGAAUCAAAGGUGAACAUUAUAGUACUUGCAUUGAGUAUAGCCUUCAAUGUGCUAAUAUGGAUUCUUAAAGCAAUGGCGGAGAGUCUGUAGUGCUGAAGGGAAAAGGGGGAUUGAGUAUUUAGUAUAAAUUCAAGUAACAGGAUAAGGAAGCUGAAAUUAGAUAAGGCGAGUGUUGGCGACUCGAGAGAAUCCGCGGGAUCAGUAUCUUCUGCAGUGAUAGUUUAGAUCGGAAAAAGAAAAGAAUGGAAUGGAACUUCCAAAUCAACGAAAUCAGGACUUGCUCUGUACGGUUGGGUUGAAAGUUGUGUUGACGCAGCAUAAUCUUUAUCAGAAUUGAACUAAGGUCUUCCCUAUCGCAUAUCAGAAUGGAAAGUGUUCUACUAAGAAUCGAAUGUUUAAUGAGUAAAGUAAUCAAAAGAAUGGUUCAUUCAAGUAUAUAGAGCCAAGCAAACUACUAUUAAGAAAGAGAACCUGUGUCCUGAUCUAACUCUGUCAACUAAUUCCGUUAUUGAUCCUCUCAUUCUAUUCUAUAUACAACAACUAAAGUAUAGCUCUGUAUGAAUGUCUCCCAGUGGACUUUCUUCUUUUACAUAAAGAUGAAGAUUCCACUCUAUCUCAAACUCCUUUAUGCCUUCGUUGGAGAGGUUCCUUGUGCCAAAGCCCGAAACAGGUAAGAUAUUUUCGAGAAGGAAAAAGAACACACGGAGGAAAGCGGGGAUAGGCUCUACUAAUUCUCAAUAACCGUGGAGUCCCUAUGGCCAACCCAAACCUAGUGGAAGCGGAUAAAGGGCAGGGAGAGAGACAGAAUGGAGAAUCAAAAGGAACUAACGAAGAUGUCGGCCUCGGCCAGGGAGAGAGACAGAAUGGAGAAUCAAAAGGAACUAACGAAGAUGUCGGCCAGGGAUGACAAUCUAGUGAACCUUAAGCCAUACCAAAUGGCAGAAACCUUCACUUUUGAAUGCUGUUGCUUAUACCAGAAAAAGCAAGUGCCGACUCUAAGAAUGCUGUUUGCCUUCUAAUGCUCUUGACUUGGACUUUGAAUGCUGUUGCUUUGCUUAUACCAAGAGAGAAAAAACGGGUGAAAAUCCAGCGGAUCGGGGACUGAGCUACGAAAGGAGAGAAAGAACACUUGCAGGCAGAGUAGAUGGACAAGCUGAUGGUUUAGGUAUACUUGGCAAUUGCUUCGAUGGGGGGUAAACUUUGAUGCAUGUCCGACCCCCAGUAAACUAGGGUAGGGUAAAGGGGCCUUUAAAGGUACUCCUACCAGCGAGGUAGCGUUCGUUAUUCUCUAUUAGCGAAUAACCCGGCCGCUACAAGAGCACCUCCGUUAGCGACUAGGAAGUGAGUUCUUUCGCGCGCAACUUACAGCACUGAUAAAUAAAUAGGGAAGGCUGGCACUGAUAAAUAAAUAGAGAAGGCUUGUCGAAGUUCUGUUGUUGCUGUAUAUUCGUUCAGGAAUCUGGCAAUAACUUUCCCUUUUCUUGAAAAACAAAGAAAGAUCAUCGCAAGCAUCAGAUCCAGACGCGAGUAAAAGCAAUGGAAUCCAGAAUCCCUUUAUCCAUUUACAGCUAAAGCGGGGACCCACCGACUCUAGUAGUUGUAGGCCAUGCCUGUGUCCGAUACAAUCAAUAUGAAAUAAUAGGUAAGUGCAUGGUUGCUAGAGCAAUACUUUGUUACUUUAUUAUAUACGUUGUGCUAAGUCUCUUUUCACUUUCAUGGAAUUUCCCCUUCUGAAAACCCCUGUGUGCGCGCUUCCUAUGCUCAUGCUUACCGGUAGCUGCCCUUGGAUUUCACUCGCUAGUGCGAGGAGCGAUAAGACACCCUUGUAGUGAUAGCGGCAGCCCAUGCUUUUUGGGGCGCCCGGCCUUAGUUUGAAUUCCAGAAAGACCCGGAACCAUUGGAAGCAGCCUUCGAAGCGUCAGAGACAGAGCCAGAACUCACUAUUGACUCUCUCCCACUCACUGGAAGCGGCAUCUUCUUAUAUGAUUCUGGAAUCCCCGCCGUGCUUCUAGGCAAUGAGAGAAAGGUGGCGAAGCGAGGAUGGCUCCGGACCUGAUCAUUCAAGUACCACAGCGCAUUAUCACCAGGAAUUUCAUCAAUAGAUGCGGGAGGGCAAGGCACAUAUUUCUAGCGGAUAUAAGGCGUAGAAAGGUCUCCCUUUUAGAGAAGAAUCAAAUCCAAUAGGAAUAUCAACUUAUCUGUUAGAAGAAAUGCCACCAUAUGAACCAAGGAAAGCAACAGCACUCCUGGGGAACGGGAUUGGGGGAUGGAAGUGACAAAAGCGCAGGCAUUGAAUACAAGCCAGGAAUAGAAUAAUGAAACUCUCAAGCCCACUUGAGAAUCCGCUGUGAGGGAAUGCUCUCUUGUUCACGAAUGCCCAGUUGGAGUAUAUGCUCUUCUUGCCUUGAUUAUUGCCUUCUCCUUGUAGUGAAACUAAUCCAUAAUGAAAACCUCUUGUUAGUAACUACACUAUUUGCCUUGACUUUGAUGAUGGCUGUCCCAACUCCAUUUAUGCGAGAAGUACACCGAAGUAGAGUUCCAGAAGAUAAGUAUUGAAGCAGUCAAAAAGAGCUAACAGUUUCAAUGGAAAUGGAAUUAAGCGAUGCAAGAAAACAAGCAAGCGCAAGAAUAUAUAGUACAUGAGUAAGACUUCCGGGCAAGAACAAGAAGCAAGUAUACGCUGAUUUGAAGCUAUGCAGUGAGGAAUCAGUGUUGUUAAUCUGUUGACUUGCCUCCGGACUAUUACUAACGCCGAUGACUAAAAACAUGGAUUUUUCAUCACUCCUUGCUAGGUGCACUCUCUUCAACAAGCAAACUAGCAAUACAGUGUUUGUUUUACUAUCUAUUAUGCUAUGCGAGAUAGCUGAUUAACAUUCAUUGCGAGAUUAGCUUCUCAAUUCCAUUCAACAAGCAAGCAACAGCGUUAGGAGUUUGUAAAGCUUAGAGCAAGGAAAGAAAGGAGUAAGGAAUUUGGUAGAGCAGAUACAGAGCCAGGCCAGGCCAGAUAUAAUGUCAGAAGUGAGUUUGAUAAUCAUUCUCCCCUUCCGAGUACAUAUAUAGCUUAGAGGCAAGGCAGGAGUAAGUAAUAAAUAAGCAGUUCUGUUUCAACAAGCAGUUCAGUUACCCUUUGAUAGAUGUCAGCAGUGUUUUCUUACCACAUGACACAAUAGGUGCACUCAAACAAGCAACGAACAAGCAGCUUUCAUAUAUGGGCAAGCAAUAACAUCUAACGGAAUUCUAUUACCGGGAGAAAUUGAUGAAUCAGAUGAUGGGCUUAUUAGGGCCUUCUUUCUCGGAUGGAAAUCGAUCUAUGUCAGCAGAGAUAGAUCCGUAGAUCAAGUUGUUGAGAUGAGUCGAUGUCGCGGGUUGACAGCUGAUAUGCAUGACAAAGCGAUGGAUUCUCCUAUCUCAAGGGAUGCUAGGCUCUUUUCACUAGAAAAUAGAUUAGGUCACCUAUGAUACGAAGCGCUAAAGAAUGCCAGCCUUAUGCACCGGCUCUAACGGCUGACACCCAAGAUAGAUGCUUUCAGUCAUCAAUGCUUAUAAGGAGUUACGUGAUUCCUUAGUAAACCCGCUCUUUCAUUUCAACUCCGAGAUGGAUGCAUAAGAGAGCUCAAACCAUCGUCUUUUACAGUGGGUAGCCGGUCUCAAUGUUGGCCUUCCAUCGGAGUUAUGCCUUCCUAUCGCUCGUCCCUGCUCUCAUCAGUCAGAUCAGAAGAAAGAAGAUAAAGCACCAGAUAUCUCUUCCAAUACGAUUCGUCACGUGCUAUUCAAUGACCAGAGUUAUGGAUAUACAGCUCGGAGACGUCGAACAACAAACAAUUCGUGUAUUUGCAUCUAGUCGAUUUAUUAGUGAACAAGGAAAAAGGAAAAAGUCUGGAUAUUCAUAUCUCUGAAUUGACUCAUGUUUCCAAAAUAGAGUUGAUCCCCUGCCCGAUCCAUUGGGGGCAAACGCCUACUCAAUCUUGCUGGGAUUUCUCCAUGGUUCCCGUAUCUAUGAGAUUCUUUGGAUUUAUUUACGGAAGUUCAGAUCCUACCAAAAUGGGCUUUUAUUUGUAUACAUUAUUUCUCUUAUCCAUGUGUGAUAUAUAUGUGAAGUUAAUCCUCUUCCUUGGCGAGAACGCACAUGCAUUCGUUCGAUCUAUUUCUGUAUUUCUCUAUAUGAAUCGUAUGCUUGUUACAAUGGUUACAAUAUCCUCUAAAUUCCUCUAAUCGACCAGAGUAGUAGUUUGUGCACCAUAGAUCUAAUAUCACAUAACACCACCAACAAACAAACUGAUUCUUUAAGAUAUUCUAUUUUGUGCCUCAAUGACAUUCUUUAUAGUCGGGGAAGUGUUGUUACUUAAUUCUAUAUGUAUGUGGAUAGCUAACUUCCGUUGUUACUUAAUUCUAUAUGUCUGUGGAUAGCUCAGUUCCAUUCUUUCUUUUGGACUAAAUGACACAAGCCUAAGGGCGAAAGACUAACUCCGGCACGCUGAUACGAAGACUGGAACUCGUAUACUCUACUCGCUGAAGCCAAUAACCAAAUCACCUCUCUCGGUAGACUUAGAACCAAUCACUGAUCUCGCAGACAAAGCUCUCACUUUUGACAAUUAAGCCUUCCCCGCUGAUGCUGCACUUAUAAGAAAUACUUCCGGACUUUCUUCUUAACCGCCUAGUGGGUCAGGUCAAUUAUAGUGCAACACAAUCACCUCUUUUGCAGCUUACUUUCGCCCUAAGAUCUGACCAGCAGUUGAUCAUUCCAUUCUUCAAUGCUAGUAUUACACUCUAUUCAUAAAGGAAGGAGCUAGAGGUUGGCUAUAAAGAGCACUAGCACAAGUGUUAACUGAUUCGAUUAUGCCCCUCCGGUUUGAAGUAAGAAAACCUUAACUGUGUUAAAGUAGGAAAACAGGGAUUCUCUCUGCUACCUCUUUCCAAUCAAUACUCAAUCUCAUCUAACUCAGGCUACUAGAACUAUGGCUCCUUGGUUACUUCUUUCUAUCAUACCUAUAGUGAGAGCGGGGAACAAGACGGAUUCUUUUUCUUAUUAUUCGGAUUCUAUUGGCUCAGCUUCUUGAUCUUGAAACUGCAUCUGAUGUUACUGCUGAUGGUGAUCCACCUGUUGCUGAUGGGGGGAAGACAUAUACGAGGACAGGACUACCAGUACUACUACGCCUACUUCUUUCCACAAGCCCAGCUGCUGACACAUAGGAAAGUCGAACUGCUGCUGACACAUAGGAAAGUCGAACUGAAACAUCAUUAAUAAGCACAUCCACUGGUCCUGAUCCAGCUUAUAAUAAAGCAUAUGUUUACUCACCACUGGAAUUUAGAACAGCUGAUGAUAUAGUUUCUGCGCUAGGUGUGUGUUACCGACACAGGGAGUGAGUGGGCUGUUCCAUUCUGAUUCUUUUUCUAAAGAAGAGAGACUCGGGACUUGAUUUAUUGCCCCUUACUAGUUCUUUUCUAUUUAUUGCUCCUUACUAGUUCUUUUCUUGUGCACCCCGACAAAAGAAGGAAUUCCAUCUUGUAGAACUGAUUGUGGCGUCCAAGGUCGCUCUCGCUUUCUCGGUUCUGUUGGUUGCCUCUACCUCAGGGUAGGCAAUGUUCAUUUACAGCUUAGAUAUGAUUGCAAAGCUCUUCCGAAUAAUAAGCAAAGCUUGUAUCUAUGAGUUUCCCAUGGCUUAUUAGAGAAUGAGGCCCUCUUUUGCCCCUUGAGAAUGUUCUUAUGAAGCAAGCGAGGUGAAGUUGAAUCUGUUUGUCUUAGAAAGAGGUGAUUGUGCUCUCGUAUCAAAUCUGAAAAUAGAGGAAAUUCAAGUGUAGUGAUUGGCUUUCUAGAGUAGGGUGCUUGGCUUUACUUUACCUUAGUUGUCUACGAGUUCCUUUAGUUGAAGUUUACAGUUAGCACCGAGAGAAGAGGAAGAUUCCGUUUGAAGAGAAAGAUCUGAAGCCGUUAGGUAACAACAUUUUCUCUGUGGUGCAAGAGAAAUAACAGAAGUAUUUGUUUCCUCUGCGUACUCCUUGGGAGGCGGGCUCUCAUUACAUCAUUACAUCUACAAUUCUGGUUUUCGGGAUCUUCAGCAGGAGACGAAGCAGUGAGAGUGGAGUCUACAAGAUCCGUGCGCAAGUCGAGUUAACCUUUUUCAUUCCAUUCGAACUUUGGAGGUGAGAGAACCAGCAGUGUUGACCUACUAGAGUUAGCGUACCUUUCACCUUUGCUUUAAGAGCUGGACUUGAUUGAAGAUACAUACAUUACCUUUGACUUCGAGCAGUAGGGCGAGAGUAAACCAGGAAAAGUGAGGGUAGAUUGUCAUUAGGGAAUCAUAGGCUCAAGCAUAAGAGCAUCUUUCGAGUGCAGAAUCGGGAAAAGAUUGGAGUCUAUCAGCUUGCCCGACCUAUACGUCAAGUGAAUCAUGAAAUUAAUGAGCUCUUGCACGAGCUCGGAUAGAUCCAAGUAAAGACAUAGCUAUAGCUUACCUUUCUUUAGAAUAAGAUUUCACAGCAUACCUUUUUUUGAAUUGAACUGCAACACUCGCACCACUAAGAUAAGAUACAAGUAUCAAGUAUUCCGCUAUAAGAUAUCUAGGAUAGGACUAUCCGAACUCCCUAACUGAGACCAGAGUAUAUCCCUUUUUGCUAAGUUGAACAUAGGGUGGGUGAACCGCAAAUCCAUCAUUUCUUACCUUGUUCAGUCCUGACAAUGCAUUUUGACUAAUAAGAUAGCCCUUACCUUCAGAGUCAUACUUAGAUUAUCUCUUUCCAGCGGACUUUCGCUCGAGAUACUUACUUGCUUCUGAUCCUUAUGAUUGGACUUAUGGGGAUGCUUGUUAGGUGGGAAUGAAUUCCAUCGAGAAAGCUUAUCCAUCGCUGGCAAACGACUUCAAAAAGCAACUUAUUCGAGAGGAAAAGACAACGGAAUGACUCUGACUCAUAUACUCUGCAUUCCCAUCAUCUGUGCUACUAUCUUUUUGUCGAAACCGGAACCCUCCUCAAUAGUAUUUCCUCUCUAGCAGCCAACACAGGAAGAACUCCUCCCUCCUUCUUCUAAUCCAAUCAUCUCUCAUUCCGGAAUAGAUAGAAUCCACCAUUAAUGAUCAGAGUGAAGAUUCCGAUCAAGCAUACGUUUUGAAUUUCUAUACGUAACAUAAUCGAAUUGAAGAAGGCUUUCCGCACCUCCCAGCUGCAGAGAAUCUAAAUAGCGGUUGUUUGGCCCGAUAAGGAGUGUUUCGAAAGCUGCAAAUAGUCCGCCCCCUUUCAAGCUUUCUAAAAAGAGGGCUUUAUUGCAGAAAACUCCAUUAUGCUUUCCUAUAACCAGCGAGAAAGGUCUUUGCACUCCGAAAUGGUUGCAGCGGAUAGUUUGAAUGGUUGUUCCUGCUUAGCCCUCCUUCCCACUCCCUUCUCUCGCCCAGAACCAUUAAAAACACCUCUCAUCUUAUAUUUUCUAUUGGGUUGGGCUUUCCCUCUUUCCAUCUUGGAAAUUAGGAUGACGAAGUCUAAUCGGGGUCUCCCAAAGCCUUGAAUUCCAAAUGCAGAAAAAAGGAAUGAAUUGAACCUUCUCGAACGUCAUAGAUUAGGGGAUGAUACCACUCAAACCAUAUAUUAUAGAUAAAUGAAAGGACUGAAUUGAACCUUCUCGUCACACCAUAUAUUAUAGAAUAGAAGAAAAGGGUUCACACAGCAUAGAGGAAGGGAGGGCCUACGGAAUAAGUCUCCAAUCAAUCUCCGGUAGGUUAUCAAGUGAUUUUCUUGUUGCUCUUUCAUUUAGUGUUCAUUGUCGAAUCGGACGCUGAACCCCCGCCCCCAAACUCAGGGGGGAAGUCAAACUGUACCUUUAGAAAGCCAUGCCCCGGUAUUGAUUCUCCAUUGGCAAGUCGAGAUUGCAAAAUAGGCCUUGUGGGAAGGGCUAGCUAGGGAGUUGAGUUCAUAGUAUAUAGAAUUGGAUAUAAUCUACAGGAAGUAAAGAGAUGAAUGUUAUCUUAUUCACUCCUGUAACUCUAAGUAGAAGUCCCACUAGAUUCACUCCUGUAACUCUAAGUAGAAGUAAUACUAGAGAGAAUUGUGUCUAAAGAAACCUCUCCUUAGAAUUGAGAAUGAGAAGUAGGGCAAGCUCAGGCCGUUCAGGAAUAACUUCGUAACUUCGUCGAAGAAAGUGAGAUCUUGGUUAUGAACGUCCGCUGUGGAGACUACUAAGGAAUGGAAAACUAGCCAAGGCUAAGGAGACUGUUUGUACUAGAAGUCCGGAAGAGUAUAAGCACGAGCGUUCGCCUACUUGUGAGUCGAGUAUAGCAGUGUAGUAAAGACGGAGCCACAUCUUGGAGUAGUUUGGCAUUGGUCGCCUUAUAGAGUAGGGCCGACCUCCAUAAGCUUAUUCUUGUUCCUUCGUGAACUGAACCAUACUUAGUCACUUCCCUUUUCUAUAUAAAAGAUUAUGAUACAAGAUUCUGAAUACACUGGCGAGACCAACUGAAAGCAGAUCAUAGCUUCGAGCUCCCUUACACGCAGAAGAAGAUUGAACAGAUUAUUCUCUCGGCACCAACACUCGAACCCGCCAAGCUAACCUUAGCAACUCUGGUAUUGUAUAAUGGAUUCUUUCAGUCUUUUUCUUGAUAAUCAAAAUCAGAUUAAACGUUAGUGUACCCUUAUUGCUGAGAGUUUUGUAGAGCUAGCAGAGUUGCUUGGCUCUCAUUGCUAAAAAACUCAUUUAUGCUUGUUGUCUUAUAGAACUCUACCACAUGUUUUGCUUGCUAAAAAACUCACUUAUGCUUGUUUACUUUUAAAGCUGCCUAACGCACAAGGGCUUGUUCCGGCAACCCUAAGCACAAUGUGUGGCGAACUCCAAUCUAAACUCACUGUUUCUCUUGACUCUAAUAACUUGAAGAACGGCUUUUGCCUGCGUACUGGACUACUGGACGGAUGCUUCUUUCAUUUAUUCUUCUUCACAGUAGACGACCAAUACGGAAUUUCAAAUCCAAUCUAACUCACAAUUGAUAUGCUAUAUGUAAAGUAAACAACACUGCAACAAGCAAAGGAACUAGCACUCAAUCAUAACCCGUUCUUUAGAAACUAUAACUAAGGCUUUCGAACACUAAGGCUUUCGAACAAGAAUAACAUACAUGCUUUCGAACACUAAGGCUUUCGAACAAGAAUAACAUACAUAUUGCAUAGGCGCCACCCGCUCAAGACUAAGUGCUAAUGGGAGUUCUGAGUUGACUUUUGAAUCUAACCGACAUUGAUAUGAUAUAGAAGCAGCUUGUAAAGACACUACACUGCUUCCCUUCUGCCUUCGAUGCCGUGAUGACGCGGUUCAGUCUGCAUUCGAUCUACCACCUGCCCGAGUAGGAGCACCAUCUAGUAUAAGAAGCUAGCUAAUAUGAAGGAGCAAGUUGUUUGUUUACCAUGCUAUUACUCUUACUGUACUUGCUCAACACCGAGAUAUAGUCAACACCGAUAAAGAAAAGAAGCUCAAUAUUAGUCGCCCUCUAGCUCUGCCAUACUCUACAUUCUUCCCCGAACCUUUGCUUUCCCAGGGGCGGGAGUUACGAAGGAAGCAGUUCUUAAGGAGUAACGAAGUAAGGGAAGCAGUUCUUAAAGUUAUUGAAGUUCACGUUUAGGAAAAGAUUGGAGUAAUUCAGAUUGCUUGUUCACUGGCCACACUGUUGUUGCUGCUUGAGAAGUAAGCAAUGUUGUCACUUUCUGAAAUAUACUUCACUGUAUGACUUACUUACUUAUAUACUAAUUCUCUAUCGAGCUACUGACUGUAUGACUGAUAUACUCAUUCUCCAUCUAGUCCUUGAGGUUAGUUAGUUCAAGAAUGGAAGUCAAAGUGCAUUGUUGAGUUCGAGCAAACAAGCAUUAUUCUGGUAUUGUUCCCCGUUGUGCUAAAACAAGCAAGGGCACAGCAAGUUGUUGUUCCAGUUCAGAGGUCUGUGUUAAUUAGUUCCGUUGGGCCAGUAAAGUCAGAAAAGAGUAUGCACCUAAAAGUAAUCCAAGAGUAUGCACCUAAUUAAGUAACAAUAUGAGAAACUCCUUACUCUGAGGCAGAGGCACCGCUAUACCUAUUGAUAAGCUCUUCCCUUGUGUAUUGAUAAGCUCUUCCCUUGUGCUAACAUAUGAGAGUCAGGAACAAGUCUAGUUUUCCGGUACCUAUCUUAUUAUUCCGUUUAGCUACCCUUGAUUCUUAAACCUUAACACUACCCUUUGAUUCUGAAACCUGCAAUUCCAACUACCCUGAAUUCUGAAACUGUAAAUCAUAUAGUCAAUAGUAACCUUCACUCUGAAACUACUGCACCCAGAAACUCUUCCGUCUAGCAAUCUACGCGCAGGGCAAGAAUCCGUCUUUCUUCUCUUAACUGCAACAAGCAACAGCGAAAUCAUCUCUCUUCACUUGACUGGAAAGAAUCUAUCCUAACUUACCAGAAGGCGACGACUUACUAGAUUGGCGCACCCGCUUGUUUACUUCAAAUAUAGGGAUUAUUUACUAGCAGCAUAGUUUCCAACAAGUGAGUGUUAGUGAGUUGUGCUAAGGGUUACUCUCGGGUCGCUAAACUACAAGUAAAGCCAAUAAAUCAUAUGGUACUUUCUUUGCGCACCUGUAACUAAGUACUUAGCGCAAUAGGCAACCGAACCCUAAGAAAAUAGACUUCACCAUCUAAGGCACCCGGAAAGCUCACUAAGGCACAUCAGAAUCCACAAUCAAAUAAGAGAGAGAUACAUUUCGACUUAUAGAAUUAGACAACCCUAUAAGACCCACCCGACACUAAUAGAAGCAAGUAACAACACUGCAUUGCUGAACACUCCAGACUCUAGCCUUUCCCUCAAACACGGAACUUAGCCUUUCCGAACCUGCUGACCCGAGUAGCUUAUUCCACUUGGUUGUUGAAUGUAAGUUCGCCGUUAAGUUAGAAGAUGGGCACCCUUGUUCUCUACCCCUUGAAUAGAGAAAAGCCUGACUCCAUACUUGAGCGUUGCUUGUUUCUACUAAGCGGAAGCAAAGGCGAAGCAAUGCUGGGUAUGGUUCUACUCUAUCCAUAUGAAGAGACUAAUAUGACUUUCCAUUCCAUUAGGCGCCCUUUGAGUUUGUUUUGAAACAAUGCUGCUGCUGCUAGUCAAUAAGUGGAUUUAGAAAGGUAUGGUGCUGAUAUUGAUUUCGAAGGUAAAGGUGCUGAUAUUAGAACUAAUCACUCAUGUAAGCACGAUGGAACAAGCAACGCGCCGGAGAGAACAAGUAGCUAAGCAAACUAACAACGGGUAGAUCGAAAGUUACAAGUAGAGAAAACUCGGCUUACAGAGGCCCUUGUGCAUUCAAGUGUUGUUGCGGGGUACCGACAUCAAUCCUCUAUUCCAUAAGUGAGUCAAGCCUGGAGUUAGGAAGCAGUUAUGCGGUAGCUUACUAGAGCGGGUGCCUAGCAGAGUUAUUACGUUGCCUCUCACGGUGGAAGAACAUCAAUCUCCUGUUGCUUCGGUAGAAGAACAUUCAUCUUCUGUUGCUCGGGUGCACUCAAUUCAGUAUAGUCUCAUUCAGGACGCUUACGCUUAUUGAGUUUAAGUAAGGUUACUUUUCUCUAAAUGUGGUGGGACACCGUUGCUUCUUUUCUUUCGCAAGCCAAACUAAGUUCAGAAUGUUAGCUUUCAGGGGUGGGUGCUGGAGUGAUUAAAGUGAAGUGAGUAAAGUGUUUGUAAACGAAGCAAGCCCUUAAGUUCAUGGUUGUUAAUCAAUUAGAUCAUAUGCUAUCUCCAUGCUAUUCUUAUUGUAUCUCGAGAGCUCUCUUCCGCAAGCAAAGGGAAAAAGUCAAUCAGGCAAAGGGAAAGAGCUGUCAAUUACAUAAGCACUAACACAAAGGGAAAGAGCUAUCAAUCUGGUUCUUUGACUCUACUCUAUUGGAGCUAGUGCUGCAUAGAGAAGUCUUACAGGCCAAACUCUGCCUUGUGGUUAGUUAAUGCAAGAGAAGUGGCAAGUAUCUUGGUUAGUUAAUGCAAGAGAAGUGGCAAGUAUUUCGUCUAAAGUGACGUAUCAAGUUGAAGUCCAUCUAAUCCAGUAAAUAAAAGGGAGUUAAUAUGACGUCCACCACUCAUAGAUGAAAGUAACAAAACACUGCUUUUACUGAUUCAAGUAACAAAACACUGCUUUUACUUAAGUAUAGGGUUUCGGCGGCUACCAAUAUGAUUUUCUUUAGAGUCAAUAGUGAGUUUGCCGGAACAAACAAGCAACGUAUUAUUUCUAGCGUUAGAAGCUUACGCUGUGGCUUACUCUUGGGGGUGCGGGGUGCUAACGUGAAAUCAUAUCAGAGUUAAGGAAGCAAAGCAGCUUGUUUACUAAAUUCUAUAUGCGUCAUCAGGUUGUUUACUAAUAUUGAUAUACGGGGGGCAUCCAUGUUAUUUUAUUGUUCUGUUGAAAACUUCCGACUAUGCUAUGCCUAUAAGAGUUAUUAAUACUCGUUAUCAACAAGCAACGCGCUUACGCUGACUUUUCUCCUUGAGUUUUGGCUCUUUCUUCUUUGAAGCUGUAGUUAGCUAGCUCGGCACAGGUUGCUGCUCCUUCGUCUUUCCUUCCCACCCUUCGUUGUAAUAGAUGAGAAAAUGAGUAACGGGCAAUCAGAUAGUACUUGAGUGUUCGGCAAUAAAGUAACCAAGCUGCAACAAAAGUGCGAAAGAGAGAACGAAAAGAACUUCCGCCCACAAUGACACCCUAACUGAACUUACUUGACUUUGAUGCUUGGACCACUUAGCGCUAAAGAAGGAAUUGGAAUAGAUUCUUACCUAAACCUUAACCCUGUUGCAAAUGCUAAUACGGAGUCGCUCACUUGAUACAACACCAUACCUUUCAUCAGUAGACUAGACCGUUAAUUAAUGAAGUUGGGACGUAAAGAGAAAAGUUCUAUGCCAUUGAAUGGGAAGUUGGGACGGAAAGAAAAGUUCUAUGCCAUUGAAUGGGAUAGUGGAGGAAAGAAGGGGAAAUGUCAGCUAGUACUUACUUCUUCUUUCUUUCUCUCUUUUCAGUUCCAGAUGAGCUUCUUCACAGUGUCGAUAGGAAGUAUUAUGCUCUUCUCUUCUUUCUCUUCUAUUCUUUAUUCCCUUCUCUUCUGUAUGAUAGUAUAGGGUCCCUUCUUCUCUUAUCAGAGUUGUAGGUCAUAUAUGAAAGAGAAAGUUCAGGCUUGCAAGCAAGAGAGCAUUUCCUAACCGAAAUAGUGGUUAUAUUUCCCUUUACCCUAUACUCAGUACCCGAGAGUGGAGUCGGUGUGUGAGGGCAAGGUGCUAUCUUAUAAUAGAUAGAUAGAGUCUAAAGAAAUGGGUUCGGGUUCGUUAAUUGAGAAAGAGUUUAGUCUACUGAAAGUGUUUGUUAAUAGAGAGAGUCUAAAGAAAGUGAAUUGAUAAAGAGUAUAGUAUACUUAAAGGCUUUGUUGGAAGAAACUGUCAUAGCUGUCAGCGGUAAUGGUCACUUCUUCAAUUAAGCAGCAGUGGAAGGAGAUUCUCUCAGGAUCAAGGGGGGAAUUCGAAUAGUACUGCCAAAAGGGUUGAAGCGGGAAGUGAAGUUACUAAUCCAGCUCUAUACCGAAGUGAAGGGAAGACUCGAGUGCGGUGCCGGAUUAUGACCGCGCUGCUCAUGAAGCCUGGAUGUAAGGAAUUGAUGUCUGCCUCCGCUUCUCGUCCUCUCUGUUACCAGAUUGAAUGGAAAUGCAUCGUCGUGUUGUUAUUAUAUCCGCCUCUCUACCCUACUCCCAGAAAUGCUUCUUCCCCCCAAUCUAGGGUUAUCAAGCGAAGCGCUCGGUCCUGUUCUAAGGCAAGUAAGGGUGUUUCGGGAUGCAGGUGAGCCCACUACAUGGUCCUUACAGUAUCGGGUGACUCUCUCUUGCCCAUCUAAGGUCUAGAAAGACUCAAUUGAUACUUGCCUCACCGUAUCGGGGUUGCUUGACUCUCUCUUGCCCGUCUAAGGUAAGGUCUAGAAAGACAAAAUGAAUGCUUGCUUGCCCUAUAUUGUGUAUAGGUUCCUUAAAGUGGUCCGGUCCACUCGCUAACAAGCAAGGGAAAUAAGAAAGAAUAAGUGUAGAGAACAAGAAUCAACGGGCUAAAGAACAAGAGAAGAAUCGACGGGAAAAACAACCAAAAAAGAAUCAACGGGAAAAAACAAACUCAAAUGAAUCAACGGGAGGAAGGUAUGCUGCUCUGUUGUAGCGGUCGGAAGGAAGGUAUGGUAUGCGUAGUUGCUUGGUCCCCUAUAAGACCCACCUCUAAGCGGGAAGCACAUAAUUUCUCCUCGAAUACCAGCACCUAAAAUCUUUGAUAGGAUGUGGGAAGCACAUAAUUUCUCCUCGAAUACCAGCACCUAAAGGAUAGAGUGUGAAGCAAAGUAAUAUGGAAUCUUUUAUGAAUGAGACAAAUAAUGGAAUGAGUGUGUUUUCCUGUGUAAUAGAAUGAGUGUGUUUUCCUGUGCUCGUUCCGACACCUUUCCUUUACCCGUUGGUUUGAUUUAGCGUUUAUGCCCUUCCACAGUAUACUAUACAUAAUGAGUCAGUAAAUAAAGAAGGAUGUUCCCACGAAAAGCUUAAUCACUUGAAUUCGGAGUUCUUUCUCAUAUUACUAGUUGCAGCAGCCCGUCAUUCACUCGGGGCGGGCACUUCUACACCCAAUGUGGAAGAAAAGAUGAUGUAGAGCUCUUGCCGUCAUGAACGAGAAGGCUUAUGAUGCCAGAGUAUCUCCGGGUGGGCUCAAGCUAAAGCAGGAGAAGAUCGUUCGCUUUCUUCUGAGUGAGCCAAAAAUGGAGCGGGUCGGGUGAAUUAGCCUCUAGACGAGGGACCAACCUUUUUCUUAUACUGGAGUUACAGCUUCACUCUUUCAAUACUAUCGCACCUUUCUGGAUUCUCUUCUACAGUAUCCUUUCGUCGGGUCAAAGAUCAGACCUGCACUAAUGCUUUUGCCAUAAAUAAUAUCAAUUCUAUAGAGAUCAAUAAGAAAUACGGACCCCGACCUGGAGCGAGACUAUAUCCAGAUCUAAAAGAAGCGAGACUAUAUCCAGAGAUCUAAAAGAAUAAUGAGCUAGGCGGCCAGUGAGCAAAGAAAGGGGGCUCCACUUAUUACUUCCGGGACCUUGGGGCUUUUUCAUUCCCCUUAGUAAACACAUUAGUUAGAGUUAAGCGGUCUGGUAACGAAGUGACUUUUGAGAGCCCGAAUCAUGCCUACACCCUCUCCUCCUCAUUCAUGAUAGUAAGCCCUGUAGCAAAAAAGGGCAGGAGCAAGUUGGAAGUUCAGGUGACUAAGAGAAUGGCGGAUCUUGGUAUGUGUCUCGUCUCGGUCAAUGAAAUGUGAUCUAGCUACUCCUUCCUUUUCAUUAAAGCAAGCCAUAGUCUUAGUUAUAGCAAGGGUUCUUCCUCUAUCGAGGGGCGGAAGAUGAGAGCAGAAUCCUUUAUUGAUUAACCAGAAAAGAAGUAAGGGAAUCAAGUGACCACGACACUGAUCUUUUCCUGUUCAAUUCAGAUUUGAUCAAUGAUAUCCGACUAUAGAAGAGAAAGUCAAUGAUAUCCGACUAUAGAAUAGAAAGAAGAUCUGAGAACUGUAAUGGCCCCUCUUUAUAGGCAUGGCAUGCAUCCAUCUUUUAGUCAAUUGAUAGGUAUAGGCAUGCAUCCAUCUUUUAGUCAAAUAGAAAGGGUGCAAAGGAGACAGACCCGAUUUACCUCACUACCAACCUAGUCCUAACGGAAGGUUCCCCACGAAAAGAAUAGACUCCUCAAGUAAAGAAAUACCCAACUUCUGCACCAGCGCCCCAUUAAAAGCAAUGCAGUAAUCGAAGAGAUUACAAGGACUCGCUCUGAUAAGUAGGAGUCAAGGCUUUCUUUCCAGUUAGCGAGCGAUCUUACCGAGCCUCACCUAUUGAUGAUUGUCACCUUCUCCAUGAUCCUUAGGAAGAAAUGGUACUGCAAACAAUUCCGUUAUACACACUAGCCAUAUGAUGCAUUAGUAUAGGUACAUUAUUGGUCCUGCAAACAAUUCCGUUAUACACACUAGCCAUAUGAUGCGUUAGUAUAGGUACAUUAUCUUCAAAAGACAGAGAAUAAUAUAAGAAUAUUAAUGAAAUGCAUAAGAAAUAAUAAGUAAAGAUUGGAGUAUUAUAAGAAAGUCAAGAUUCAAUAGUCUUAUUCGUUUUUAAGUAAAGAUUCAAUAGUCUUAUUCGUUUUGGGGAAUGGAAUCAGCCUGUAGAAAUGGGUUGUAAAUCAGAUAGAGUCCAUGGGGCUGCCUGUUAGUAUAGGGUUCGGCUUCCGCUCAAUAAGUUGAGUAUAUGGAGGUACCUAUUGCAGUUGGUUAGGGUGCUGGUCAAUCAGUUAGUACAAUAGGGCGUGGUUAGCUUAUUUGAGUUAGGGAGCGCCUGGGGGAAUAGGUUGACGAGUUUAGGCUAGGAAAGCUCCCCAAGUGGACAGAAGAUCCGAUUGCUUGUUCAGUGUCAGAGUAUAUAGAAGUGUUCUAAUCUCUGAGGUGAAGUGCGUUAGUGAGCUGCUCGAAACAAGUCCGACAAGCAUACAAGUAACUAAAGUGGGACGCAGAUGCGGAAUAUGAAUAGACUAAUGCCCCGGCAAGUCGAUCAUUGGCUUAAUUGCCUGGCUUUUGGGACUCUAGUAUCACAAAUUCCCGUCGUGUGUGUUGGGCUUAUUCCAAUUUAUAUACAAACAUAUGGAUGAUUCUUCUUUUCCUUUGUUUGGGAAUGGACAAAAGAAAGGGUUUAUACAUGACCGCUUGCUUUGUACAAGAUGCUAUCGCUCGCUUUGUACAAGAUGCUAUAGUAUAAGAUGCAAUUGCAAAAAAGCCCUUUUUCCACUGGAAGCUCUACCCGCUCAAAUAAAACCAUCCUUUCCAUUUUGAUAUACCAGUAGAUUAUUUCUUACCUGAAUUUCGGAAUUGGAUUCAUUACCUUUCAAGCGUACUCUUAUGGGAAGGUGUUCUGGCGCCUAUGUCUCCGUAAGAAUAAGUUAUUCCGCCCUUAUCCAGCAGGGGAUGAAAGAAUCGUACUUUUCUUCUUGGCUAUACACAAUUCUUUUACAUCUUAGUAGGAAGGAUUUGAUGCAAAGGACCGGAUAAAGACCUAAGAGCUUUUUCUGUGCAUUUGCUUUGGAUUUGUCCUGCAAACUAAGCAUUCCAUUCCUAAAGUAAGUGCCAAAGUAUACUCUCUGCAUUAAUCCCCUUCCGCUUCCCCCAAGCGGGCUUGCCUUGUCCUCCUCUCUGCGUCUACUAUUGCUAAAGCCCUUCCUUCACUGGAAUUAUGUCCUUCCUGCAAGUGCUUAGUAAGCCUCUGUACUUCCUCUAAUUAAUAGUAUUUAUGAGAUACCUCUGUCUAGUAUGUAUUUGGUACCUCUGUCCUUCCAGCGAGUGUCUUCCUAUGUCCUGCAAGUGCAACGUCUGUCUCUGUCUAAUUACCAACCAUUUCUAUACAAAACUUGAACGAGUUGUGCAAAGGCUGCUUCAAAUGCAAGUAAGAUAGUCUGUCCUGGUAAGAUAGUCCGCCCUUCACCCCGACCUUGAUAAAGCAACAGAUCCUUAUGAGGUAGUUGAAAGGAGAAGAUAAAGAACCAUUCUUGUUACCCGAUAGGUAUGAUAGAGAUAAGUAAACUACCCUUUUUCGCUCGCUAAUUCACUCGCUACCGCGCAGUUGCCUAGUGAAACUCCCUUAUUCCCUUAUUCUCCCUUAUUCCCUUAUCAAUUUAGAAACUCUCCCUCAUUCCCUCAUUCUUUUAUGAACUCGGGGGCCCCUUUUACCUUGACCUAUGACGAAUGUUAGCUGUUGAGAAGGCAACUCGUUAGAAUGGUUGAGGGAUACUGACGCCGAAACUCUCACUUUCACUUUUACGAAUAGGCGCGGGUAGGAGGAAAUACAAAUGGUAAUUAAAUACACGUGAUUGGAUACUUUUCUGGUUUCUAUUUUCUGCACCCUAAUUCAGGAAUUAGUUUCGACAUGAUCUAUUUUACUUACUUCGACUCUAAGACAGAUGAGAGAAUUUCUCCUAAAAAAGCCAGCUACGGGAGAUAUUACUCCAACUUGAAAAAAGAAUUCAUAAUUGUGGGAAGUCUAAAGCAACUCUUAGGAGAUUCAUAUUGCUAACUUGGAGUGGGGCUGAGAAAACUAAGGUGAGGCAGGGUAUUUAGGGGAAUCAGAUCAUUGACAGGCUCAGGAGUGCCAUCCCGUGUACUACUAUCGUUGUUGCAAGGGAACAGCACGAAACCCUAGGGCAUAAUUCUGAUAUUGGAAUCUUCACUGAUGGAAUCCAAAGAAAAAGGAUCAAAGAAUAGCUCUCAUACAGGGAGUUAUCUUUCUCUCCACAGCGUAGUGCCCCCCUAUUUAUUGUAUCUGUGAAAACCCCUAUUUCUGGGCGUUUCUCUAUAGUCGCUAAUGUAACAUCCAUCAUGGAAACUCGGAAACUUUACUUGCUUCUCGAGCGUCAGUGGCCAAGCAACGAGCCAAGUCACUACAAAUGUUUAGCUAAGGGGCAGCUAGUUCGAACGUUAGCAUAUUUCGAUGAGGAUUUGAUUCCUUUCGCCCGAUAUACUUAACCGAUUAUUCUUCUGGAGUCAUCAACAAAGAAAGAUUCCACAAGGGAUGAAGCUAGAACAGAAACUGACUUUCUUCGCCUAGCUUAAGAUCCUAUAACUGGAAUAGGAAUAGGCCUACAAGGAUAAGGAAGCUAUUCUGGGACAAUCAGGACAUUCUAUAAUACAAACAGAUGAAACAAACAAGCUACUACGCAUUUCGUUUAUUCUUUCCUAUAACAUAGGUACUCUAAAUAUCAGAUAUCUUGACUAACGGAAUGAGGCUCACAGAUACAUAGCAAGUAGGAAAGCAACUACUAAUUGUUGGGGAUGAAACUAUCACAGGUAAUUCAUAAACGGACUUUAGAACAGAACUGAUCUAUCUGUUUCUUAUCUUGGAGUUCAAUCCAACAAGCUACUACUCAAAAAGCACAGAGAGUCCAAAAUCCCCCAAGUGUGUUAAUUUGUUCGAUGCCUGUAACGAGUCUGGUAUUCAUGGCGUUAGCAAGCACUAGACCACUCCUGUUACACUUGUAUACUUUCCCUUAUAUACAAGCAGCUUUUCUCUGUAACUAGGGUGGAUUAGUUACGAAAGUGAAUCAGUGCUUGUUAAGUCGAUGAUAGAAGAUCUUUUUGAAGGUCCACUACCGGUUUUAGCUUCCGUAGAGUUUCUUUGAGUGCGAAAGUAAUCUGUGUUGUCUACAAGAUAAGAAGUUGGACUGGAGAAGACUCCGUUGAAAGAUCAUAAACUUGAUCAAUAUCCGUAGUAGGAACUCGAAACAAUUCCGAGGGCUUCUUCCCUUUAGCAUUAGAAGGAAGGGUUAACAAGAUACCUGUGUUACGUAAGAAAACAAUAAAUGAAAUAAACAAGAGAAAAUCAUUCAAUUGAAUUGAGUAGUAGUGUAGUAAAGAAAUUAUUAGGAAUCAUAGGAAUAAGAGGAAGCUGUAGCCGUAUCAAGGUCCGGGUCAUAAGAAUACGUUCCUUGAUAAGUCAGAAUAGAGAAUAGAGAAGAGAUAUAAGAGUCGGAGUUCAGGAAGCUAUACCCGGAGAAGGAAGGUUUGGUUUGACUCGUUUGUUUCUAUAUCUAGUGCUCAAUAAGAUAAUAUGCUAGUACUGUUAAUAUGCAAGUCAAGUGUUUAUGGCGUCAGUUACUAAUAAAUACGGCCAAGCUACUACUAUUGGAUAAGGUUCAUUCUUUUACUGUUUGUUUGACCAGUAAAGUCCCGCUUUUGGGAGCCCAGUUUACCGGACAAGCUACUACUACUAGUCUGGUUUUUGCCUUCUUGCCAGCCCUGUUUCCCAGGCAAUUAAAUCAGUGUCAUCUAAAAUAGAAGCCGAAUAUCCUUGUAUGAUAUAUUGGGGUAACUAACCUACCUGGUGCUCCUUUAAGAAUAGGGAGUUUCUGUUUUCAAGUAAGAAAUACAGAAGAGAACUGUAAGGCAGAAAUGCAGAAUUCUACUAGUCAGAGUUGACCUCUUUCUCGCCAAAACCCUGUAAAUGCGAUUAACCCACAUAACCCAGUGCUCCUUAAACCCUGUACAUGUUCUUCACCCACAUAACCCAGUGCUCUUUCAUUUAAGAAUAGAGUUUACUUAAUUGAACUUAAAGUAGAGUAAGGGACAGAGUAAAGUGUUCGUGGACAAGCUACAGGACUGCUGUGCCAGUGGAAUUCAUAGUUUCGAGUUAAAGCAUCAAUUGUUUCCCGGGCCUACCUCUGUUGUAGAGUAAACCGGCUGACUGAACUGCUUCCAACAUAGAUGAAACUCUUCCAUGCUUUGAAGCGGGAAGGAAAUCAAUAAAUCCAGAAGGGUGCUUUUCCGAGCAUAGGUCGAUUACUACAAGGGGCUGAAGAACGUAAGGGCACAGAAAAUAUAUCCUUUCUUUUGCAUCGUUUAACAAGAUCUGAGUCAUGAACAGAAGCGUUUAGGUAAAAAACUUCUAUAACAGGUUAGAGAGAUUCGAGAGGUAAUUGUGGCGUGUCAGAGGAACAAGCAACCACUAUGCGCGUUAGGAACCUCCACCCGUGAUUUAAGUAAGAUAAAUAAUAAGUCAGAAUAGAAUAUGUCUAGCAAUAAGUGACUUGAGAGUUGAGGUCGUAAAAAGGGAUGCAAAGAAAUUCUCUAAGUUACCGGUUUGUUUGUAGCUGACUGACAAAACUGCUUCCGUAGCUGACGACUAAGCUGCUUCCUUUGUUGGGCCUGUUCACUAGCAUGCAUUUCCUUCCAUAACCUAUCCACUAGCAUGCAUUUCCCUCCCUAACCUAUCAAAGAGAUGUUUCACACACCGUAUAGUCCACGUGGGCAUGAGAUUCCGCUUCUGUAUAAGAUGAAAAAGUCAAACAAUCUGUAUAAGAUUAAAGUAACACAAACUUACAUCUUCUCUUACCUGCGCAUUCGGCUUGGCUUCUUCUUUAUCGGAUAUUCAAGUAGAAAAGAAAUGGACUCUCCUAAAGCUAGAAGAUAUUGCGCUAAAGCAACUAAUACGGAAUUGAAUCUAUCGUAGGUCUUAACACCUUGCUUGAAUUCUACAUCUAGUCUCACUUUACUGCAUCACCGGUCUCGCUUUACUGCAUCGCAGGCUUACUUGACUUAUUGCUGGACUGGAGUUACCUCCGCGACUCCUGACUUUCAAACAACUAAUCUCAAAUCUGGCUUUACCGUCUCUAGGCCCUACGCUCGUUAGCCACAUUCCUACUCUACUGUUUCACAAACCGCUUCCAUGCCUCUAUUCCUUAGUCCGUGGAGGAUCUACUCAUUCUUUGAUUACUGAGUUCAACUCCGAUGCUUACUACUAUAAUAAGUAUUAGCCCUAAGUAUAAGUACAAGUAUCCUCACCUCAGUUAUGAUAUAGAAAUAAGUAAGAGAAACCCAAACUCGUGCUACAAAGUAGGAAAGCAAGAAAACCACUCAGUAGUAACAAAACAAAUCCCUGACCACCUUUCACUCUUAAACUAUGGUAUCUCUUUCUUUUGCUAGUGUCAAUUCAUUCUUACAAGAUAUACAGUAUUGCAGUAAGUAAAGUGGAUGUCGAGUUAAAGUAGCAGAGGUACUAGUGGAAGAACGAAAGAAAGAAGUGGGGUUUUGACUACUGGUGAGUAAGGCCCGUUAGCAGCGAUUUCCGUAUUAGAAGCAGUGGUUACAGUAAUAAAGGGAACAGUUGCAUCCCCAGUUUCUAGCUAUAUAGCCUUUUCGAUAUUAGUUAAAGAGAGUAAGCCAGGACAUGCUAACUGGUAUUACUUGAAGAAUAAGAGGCAGUAAAGUAAGCCCUAGAGUUAAGUCAAACAAAAAGAAAGGGAUGCUAGUUUUAAGUAAGUAGUGGCGGGGUGAGAUAAGUUAUAAACGGAUUUGGAGUUAGGAGCGGUGGACUCAAGUUAAUAAGGCAUGCAAGUGAACAUAUAAGGAUUGACAGCUUAGUGAGUAAGGCUGGGUCUUCCGAGGGAGUAGUAAGGCUUAGUUCCCGGGGAGUUAAGAAAGAAAGAAAGUCAAGAUAGUAAGCCCGAGAGAUAGUUACUACAGAACAAAAGCAAAGAGAUAUAGACUGAAGUGCAAGGUAUGGGUUAAAGACCAAUACAAAGGAAAGAAAUAAUGAUAUAAGUUAAUAAUGAUAUAAGUGCUAGUCAGAAUCCGUGUUAUGGGAGGUAGAUUUUAAGCAAGUGGCAGCAUCCUUUCCUUAUAGUUAAGCUACGAGGCAUUAGUAACAGAUUGCAAAUGCAGCUAAAGGAUUAGAUUAAGUAGCGGCAGGCCAACGCUCAAGGUGGAGAAUAAAGAAAAGGGAAAUAGGCUGAUAGCACGGACAGUCAGAGUUGGAGCGAGGAAUAGGGAAUGCCAGGUAUAUCGCUAAUUCUAAGUCUUAUAGUAGUGAAUCCUUAAAAGCGCUAGUUCAAUCCUAUUAGGUGGGGUAAAUCUGAUAGUGAGCAUUGAAUGAGUUAAAGGCUGAACUCGCCAACAAGGGAAAAGCUACAGUGUACUACUGCUACACAAGAUUGGAACGGAUACUGGAAAGAAUGGAACUGCUAAGACCUUAAAGCUGCCUUUGCUUGCUUCUAUUCUCUGUACUGCUCCUUUGAUUCCUUACUAAAACUAUCCGACUGAAAAACGACUCCAAUAGAAACGUCGGUGUACGAAUCUCUCCUCAACGCCUGCCUCCCUUGUGCACCUAAUCUUGCUUCUUAGUUAGAGGCUUCCGUUCCUGUAUCUCAACCGGACUUACACUACUUUAUCUCAUUACCGCGCUGCUUACUAUAAAAACACCACUUACGGACUUAGAGGCUGACUAUACUGUGUCUCAUCCUUACUCCCCCGCCUAUUAGUCUGUUGCUUGACUUGCGGAACGAACUACUAUAGAAUCCGGAAUGAACUGAUAGGUAGUCAAUCUUACUCAUUACCCCAGAGCCUUAGCCUGACUUGCGUUAGUGUUAGCCUCGCUUUACUGCUUGAAAACUUGACUUCAUCUUCCACUCUUCUACUCCGGCCUUAUCGGGUGUUUAUCAAACUUAACUACUUAUCAACACUACUAUGUUUCUCAAACUUCACUACUUACACUACUAUUAUAGGUGCGGAAAGCCUGCUGGCAAACAGUAAAGACAAACAGACUACACUACAGCUACGGGCUUCUUAGUUCGAGCCUGGCCUGGCUCUACUCCCCUGGAUCUUAGCCAGCUACUGAUGGAAUCAAUUCUGAUAAUGAUAAUCCAAAUUCUAAUAUACAACAAUUCAUGUCACCACCAAACACCCAACUUGUUUUCUGACUUCCAAAACCAACCCAAUGGUUUCCUAGUUUAGGGUGAAAUGCUUUAGUGACGCUUUCAUUCCCUCCCAAACCCUUGUCGACUUCUACCCUAUUCUAUUCCGAUUACCUCUAACCUUUUCUAUUCCUAUCGGUACCUUUCAAAAAGCCCGAGUGUUUACCACUGCAUUGAUUCAGUGCUUCUCCCCGCCCGGUGGCAUUGAUUCCAUUCCGUGCAGCUCCCCGGCCCGGCACACAACAUGGCUAUAUAUCAAAUAGAACAAAUAUAGGAAAUAGAAAUAGUGGAGCUGUUCCAUUGAAACCAGUUACUCUACGCAAACCACUAAUAAUUAUAAGAAAAAAUCACUAUCAAUACUAUUGAAAUACUAUUAACAUUAUAUACUAUUGAAAUACUAUUAACAUUAUAUAAGUAAGAGAAUGUUUGAACAAGCAAAUCCAGAAAGAAGAUAAGGUACAGUAAAUAGGAUAAGGUAUAGCUCUUAAAUGACAAAUACAGAAUGAGGGGCAGGGCAGACUUUAAUCAAGGGGUGGCGGAGUGGACAAGCAAGGAUCGGAAGACCAACAAUCUCACUACAGAGGGCGGUGGGCAGGAGUGAUCAACAUAUAGGUGAUACAAUAAGGCAGGGCAGGCCCAUAGUCAGUAUAUCCAGGAUCCGGACCAGUAGAAAUAACUCCCUCCGCGCAACGUGUUCAACAUAACAUGUUUCUUAUGAGUCCAGUGUUUGUCUAAGUGACUUGGCUACUUAACACCGACCCACAAAGUGAUAUAACGAUUUCCCUUUUUGAGUCUAUUCCGCUAAGCAAAUAGAAAGACGUUUACUAUACAUGAACUUAAUACCGAAUUUCAUAAUGCAGAAAUCCACUACUAUAUCUAAGAUCUAAAGUACCGAUACAAAGAGUAGAACCCAGCUGCCAAAGCCCUAUUAUCUCCCCUAGCGCCUACCUCCUGUAACUUGACUCCCUUUGCUUUCAUUCCAUCAGUUAUUCCUCAAUGCCUUAUUAUUUCCCCACUUCUUGAUUCUUAUGUUUCACUUGUAUUGAUAUGUAUUGGAAUGUGUUUUCUCAUUAGAAUAUGGAUAUUAGUUUUCUCAUUAUUAUAUGGAUAUUGAUUUUCUCAUUAUUAUCGUACGAGAACAUAUUAUCAUCAGUAAAUAAACGAAGUGACACUAAUCAAACAAUCAGAGACAGGAGAGAGGUAGGCUCAGCUCACUCCCAGCAAAGUCAGAAAUAAGAUCGAGGAAGGGCGGGCUCAUAGGUGAACAUAUGAUUUAGAUUAAGUAGCUUCUUACAGGCCAAGAGCAAGGAAAGGCAUACUUCAAGCAAGUAGCAGAGGAGAAGGUCUUGAGGUAAGGAGCCGACGCCUAGGUAGGUUAGAAAGAAAUACAUAAUGAGAAAGGUUAGAAAGAAAUACAUAAUGGAAUAAGUAAGUAAAGAAUCAAGGUUGUAAAGACUCCAAAUAAGUAGUGCCAGGCUAAGAGCCAGUAAUGCAAGGUUGGUUCAUUCCACACAAUAAUAGGAAGGCGAAGUUUCUAGUAUAAGUAUGAGUUCCCAGCUAAGCUCUUAUUGGUAGUAGUAUUUCUAUAGUGGGCUGUAUUCCAUAGUAGUAUUCGUAUUCCCAUAAUAGUGUUUUAGGUUGAAAACAAAGAAAGGUAGGCUUGAUAUCAGCAGCACAGGGCUUUAAUACAGCUGUUAGUGGUCCACACCCUUAUGCCCCUUGCUUCAA